AGGUAAUCCAAUAGUUUCAGCGGAGCAAUUGUUUGAACAGUCAUAGUGUUCUGGUACAAAGGUUGAAAAUCAAUAAUUCUUAAGUCCAGCUCAAGGAGAUCUUAAGAAAGUGGAAAACAAAGCACACAUUUUCCUUCAUCACCCCAGCAAGCUCAGAUCCCCUUCUGCAGCCCAACCAAGAGAGCACAUCCGUGCUCAGCUAAAGCCCAGCACAAGCAGAUCUGUAAGCUGUGUCAGCUGAACCCAUCACCCUGCACUUGUAGGAACAAGUUGGUCACUGUGUGCUCCAGACCUAAGGAGAAUACAUCAGUCACAGUGAGUAACUUGGGCUCUGGAAGCAAGGAGCCUGCAUGUCAGCUGCCUAUAAGUAGUCAAGGACUAGGGGUAUUUUCUGCCUUUGAUGCACGCCUGCCUGCCCUGCUGCACAAACCCUUUGAGGCUCGUAUCAGUCUGCCUUUGUGGAAGCUCUUAUGAUUCAAAGCAAGGGAUGGAGGGAAGGGGUUCAUUCGAGAGAGCCCAACCACUCUAACUUCUAUACCGCGGGGCAGGAUAUCCUGCAAGUAAUGUCCUUGCCCAGUACUUAGCUGGAAAACCCAGGGAAACGCAGAUGUUCCUGGGAGAGACUCCCUUCUCUCCAGUUUUUAGGGAUAUUCAACUCUUCAUCACAAUUUUGUUCAAUUGGAAAAGUGUCUUUAAGAUCUCAGCUAAUCUGGGAUGCUGAGCAUCAUCAUUUCCUGGCAAAAAUGUUAUUGAUAAACAAGUACUAAAGAAACAACAACAAAAAAAUAGGGAGCCAGCCCAACAGACAUCAGUGCUCUCCCUCUAACUUCCAAGGGAUCCCCUGCACCCAAGCCUGUUUUGGGCACGGGCUUCUUGUCAGGUGCAGUUUGCCUGUGUGUUCUGCACUGUGCCACAGCACUCCAGCAGCAAAACCCUGAGGCCUUUCAGCCAGGAGAGGUCAACUGUCACUGCCAUGGCUUAGCACUCUACAACCAAGCCCCACUUCCCACUAUCACUGGAGAAAAGGGGGAAGAGGGGCUAUGUGGGUUUGAAUGUGCCACCUGGUACUGCACCCACACCAGUGCGUCUCUUAACAAUAAAUACAUACCCAUGAAAUACGUGGGAAGAUGUACAAAGGAGACGCUGAAGUGUCAAGGAACUUCACUUCCCACCUCUUGAGAGUAUAAUACGAACCAACAGAGCAGAAAGGAACGCAAAACAUCGUUUAUCAAAGCAGCAACAGAAUUUUCUGUCAAAGGCAAGAUUUCACAACAAAGAUGCUUUUGGCAUGGGUGGAUUCCUGACAAAACAAUGAAGCAACGUGAAUGAUAUAUGAUUGUUUCUUUGCACAGACUGCUGAAAAGCUUUCAGAAGCUUUAUAAAAUUGGAGCUACUUAUGUCUAACAGCUACGGUGUAAAGGUGGGGAGGGAGCUUCCCGCGUGCGGCUUUCAUGACAGCGCUCAGCAAGAGGCACGCUGCUCCUUCAGCACUCUCCCUUCCCUCCCACCGAGCUCAGGGUCAGCAAUCUGCAGAGCUGGGUCCCUGCUUUUGUUCCCCUGCCUCCCUCACUUCCCCCGUGUUUCCCCCACCCUCCCUUCGAUGGAAAGAGUGAUGAUAAUGCCAAUGAGGUGAUCUGAAGCCUCGCUCAUAGCUGCUCUAAAUGCAGCCACAUAAAGCAGUAGGAUUCUGCUGGUGACAUUUGGACCACAAAUGAAGUCCCCGAGAGUAAUAAACAAUCAGGUAAAGAAAUCUGGAAAGAAAUUACCCAGCACACCUCGUCUUCUUGGCCCCCACGAGAUCCAUAUAAAAUGUGUUAAUGCAUCUGAUUAUGAUCUAAAUUACAUCCAGAGGCUCCUGCCAAGCACUCGGUGAAGUUUCUUUAUUGUUAAGUUGGAAGCUGUUUAAGAACGGUCCAGUCAUCGUGUUUCAAAUUAGAUUUGGGAAAAAAAACAUUCUCCUACUUCUGCUGGCUCCUACCACGGGUCUGUGGGAGAAAGUCGAUGUGUGGUUUUUCUCUGCUGAAGUGAGAGCAGGAGAAGUGGUGACAGCACUAAAGGAGCAAGUCAGCCUAUUGCCUGUCCUUGUAUCGUGACCCGAGCUGAGCAGAUUUACUGUAUGUUGACAUGCCAGAAAGUGACUGCAAAUGCAGCUGGCUUUUGAGAUGCAUUUCUCCUGAAAAGGGAGAAGAACCACCACAGUGCUUUCACACACACUCCUACCUUCCACACACUACAGAACCUGGAAAUAGUUUCUGAAAAUGUUAGGUUUGAUAAGAAUGGCUUGAAAAGCAUCACGCAAGACUUCCUCCGUGCCUGCAAGGAUCGGCUUAGCUGUUGCUCUGGCCCAAACCAGCAAAUCACUGUGCUCUUGGAGGCAGGCAAGAAAGCUGUUUUUCUCCCCUCACUUGCACUUAAACCCCAGACCAACCCAAGCUGUGUUAUCUUCUGCUGACAUCCAGCCUUUGCUGCACUGCUCAGCACCGGCUCCCCCUCCACUGCUGGCUGCACAUGUUAGAGGCAGAGCCAAGGUCACCUUGCUCAGGAUGUUGGGUUUUUUUUAAAGGCAAGGUCCACAUAGAUUAAAGAUCUUCCAUCUAUUACCCCUGCCCUUCAAAACACACAGCUGUAGCAACAACCACAUAAAUAUACACUGGAAGGGCCCGACAGGAAACAGCUAGCACAUAAUAGCUCUCACAUACUUACUUUGCACUACCCGUACGUAUAUAUACACACCACAAAUAGCUGUCUGCACCUCCUCUCAAGGUGCACAGCUCAUCAUCAGCACGGGUCAUCACUCUUCAUAUUCAUAGCCACUGUCCAGCAUAGGAGGCAUCUGAAGGUACCUACCCCUCCCAGUCCCUGUGCUAUGUGAAGACAUCAACUGAUACAAAUAACUGCUGGCUGUAACUGAUAUUGCUCCAUAGGAUGACGUUAGAAGCCAAGCAUCAGAAAGCAUAUUUAAGAGAAGCCUGUACUACCCAGCACGUGUGUGUUAGGGCUCAUGUUUGGGCAGCUCAGCUUUCACCUCCAGAGACCUACAACAGAGCAGCAAGAUAAACAAUGCAGAGACUAGGAGAGAUGUUAGACCUGAUGACAUCCUCGGCCUUUUAGUGUUUUCUCCUACAAGUAUUAACAAGGCAACAAGGUUAUGACUGUGAGCAGCACUCUUGCUUGCAGUGAAACUCAGUGUAAAGAUGAAAUUUGGAAGUCAGUGUGUGCAGAACUCAGCCCAAGCCUUGUAUCAGCAGCUCUGCAGGAAAUUAGAGCUAGAACUUCCAUUUCUAGCCACCACUAUAAUGCAGGGGUUUCAAUACCAAAGAUGUUUUAAUGAAGGAUCACAGGCUGGAUCUCAGCCAGUCGACAGCACUGUUAAAAGGAAGUCUUUAUCUCAACAAAACACUUACUGAACAACAUGCUAGGUGCUUGAAAAUAAAGCCUACGCUAACAACCAGAUUUUAACCUGAAAUCCUGCAUGUUGGCAUUCUCUUCUGCUGCAGGUAUAACUGAUUCCCUUGCACAGCAUGCUUAUUUUCUCUCCUUCUAAAGGAAAAAGAAAAAAAAAGGAAUUUUCUCUUUCAGCUUAACUUUGAGGCAAGAUGGAAGACCACAGCCUUCCUCAAAGAAGUGAGAUCUUUUGAACUCCAAGUCAGCAGGCUCUCACAGGAGCUGAGCUCGGGGGCUGUUCUGGAAUAAAUCAAAAAGGAUUUACUCUUUCACUCAAACAAGGCAGAAAAAAAUCCCCUAGAUGUACAGAUUUUCAGCUGGGGAUACGAAGUUAGUUAAUAGGUUCAAAAAUAAACCAAAAACCAAAAAUGGAAAAAAUGGAAGAAAAAAGACAACUUACAGGAGUGUCAUUAUGGCUUGAUUGCCAUGAUCCUGUAAGCUAAACGCUACCUGCAUGACUGGAUUUCCUGGAGGAAGUCAUCAGCACAGUUGCUAAGUCUGCUGGAAGCAGUUCAACCCAUGUACAUGUGGAGCAGAUGCUCUGAACUCAACACAAGGACACAGCACUCCUGCAGAACUCUGUGGACAGCAAGUCAAAACAGGGGCUCGAACUGGUCAUGCAUCAUCAGAGAUGCAGCUGUGAUUUCUCAGAGAUUAUUAGAGUUUGAGGGCAGAUGGGACCCCAAGAGCACCCAGUCUGCUUCUUGCUGUGUCACAGACCAUUACAUUUCAUCCAAGCUUUCCUAAGAGCAGGAGUUGGAUCUGGCAGCCUUAAAUAACUGCGUUCCCAGUAACAACUCAUGUGCUAUUUGCACCACAAAACCCCUGCUGCCUCAAUAGAUUUGCCUGGGAUACAACAGCCCUGUAGUGCCCUUGUGCCUUUGGCUCCUGGUUCAAGCCCAGAUUCAUCAGCAGUUUCAUCAGUACUUCAGAGCUCAGUGAUGAACAAUUCCCAUCCUCUGGCUUCCUUACAGGAGUGAUAGGAGAGUUGGGGAAGAAGAAAUGUGCUGCUGGCAGCAGCCUCCAGCCUCUGCAGUGAGAUUGCCCGUGCUCCCCUGUCAAUCACACACCCCCAUGGUAGCUGUGCAUCAGCAGCCCAUGGACUAAUCCCUACAUGGCGAGCCUACCUAGGCUAUGAAGUUUUUAGAGGUAAGAAGAGAAAUGUGCAGAUCACGCACAUCAUUUCAGAGCCCAACCUCCCUGCAGAGCUGUGUGCCAGGAUUGGGAUCCUCAGCACACAAGCAAGCUCAGCCCGUUCAUGACUAUCAGUGCUUCUUUAAAAAAACAGAAUUUAAACAGCCGAAAUCAGAAUCUUGUGAAACAUCACUUCUUCACCUGCAGCUCUGCCAAGUGAAGUUGGCUAGGGCUUUCAGCAAAUUGCAAGUGAUUAAAUGAAAGAGUGGGUGGCCAAGCACAUAAAGGGCUUGACUCAGAUUCUGUGAGUGACACCAUAUUGGUGCUGUCCAGCUUUUCCCAUCUGUUACCAUUACUGUAACGUGUAUGGUGAGAAGGGAAAACAGUGCUGGAAAAUCACAGAGAUGUUUUGGUAGCUGGUUAAAAUGCAGAAGAAGAGCACCAGUUUCAUGGAAGGUGUGGAGCAGAUCAGUACUGCAGAGCUUGGGUGUGCCUUACCUUCUGCACUGCUUCUUGGCUCAGAGCUGUCCUGCAUCACACAUCAAUCCUUCACUACUUUUCUUCUUUCUCUUAGUGUUGAUCUCAAGGGUGCUUCUCCUCUUUAAUACAAAAAACAAACAGAACCAUAUGUACUUAAGAAACACAUUACCCAUUGCCUAGAGGCAUUGUGCAAAGAGAUGCUGCCUAUUAGCAUGUUGGCUAAAAACAUGCAUUCCAGAAGAGAUUUGUGAAGGACCAAUGCUCCCAUGGAGCUGAACUGGGCUGGAGGCAACAGGCAUACAGCAAGGGACACCUUGGGUGCCACAAUGCCCCAGGUCAGGAGGAACGGCCCCAGAAGCGCAGUGAGAAGUGACCAGCACAUUUCACAAAUACCAGGCUCUGAACAAGAAAGGAGGGAUAUUUCAAGUCUUUCAUAGCUAAUGGCAGGAGAUGAAGGUCACCAGCUCUGCGCUCCAUCAGCACAAAGCCAGCUUGCAGCGAACACCUACAGGGAUGGUGACUCCACCACCACCCCGGGCAGCCUGUGCCAAUGCAUUAUUACUCUUUCAGAGAAGAAACUGUUCCUAAUAUCCCAUGUGUUCUCAGCUCCCUUAACAUAAAACUCUUCCACAACAGCACUUGGCAGCCGACAGCUCUGUAGUACACACACUCAACUAUUUCCCACCAAAAAAAGGCAGCUACUUCACUCCGUCAGUGCCAAGGGGAGCACCACAAGUCCCCUGCCCUGUUCCACGACACCCCAGGAACUCUACCAUCAGAUCCAGAUUCAACCCAGUAACUCCCAGUAAUUCCUCAUCCUUUUUCCCUAGUUCAAAACCCACUCCAGACACACUUCAGCUGCAAAUAAUCAUUUAAACAUACAGAAAACCGAACCAAAACAAAGUACCUUUUGCUAACUGAAGCUUGAGGGUGCAGGACUGCUGCUCAGCAGCCGACGUCUCUGCUGCAUGUGGCAUUCCCUUUUGUUUCAGAACAUAAGUGCUGUGGAUCAGGGCCAUCCCCAUCCUGCCUUCAUACUCCUACACAGCUCUGGCAGCCAGCACAAGCGGCACGUCCCAAGUCUCCCUCUUCCCACCCUUACUGUUACUAACGCGUUCCAUGCUCACCGCCUAAGCUCAGCUGUCAGGGACAAGAAUGGAGCUUUGGUGGCUGCUGCUGGGCUCUGGCACCGAAGUUGGCAGCUGCCUAUAAAAGCUCCUCCAUCCUCUUCAGUUCAGCUGGCAAAAUGCUUCCCGAGCUCCUGCAUCUCUGAGUUGAGAAGAAGUAAACACGCUGCAAAGGGAGCUCUUCUCUCUUGCAAGCUGCAAGGGAUGGCAUGUUUCCAUCUGCAAAAGGCUACAAGAUGUCUGCAGAAACAGGAACUAAUAGCCAUGGCCACUCCAAUCCCAGCUCCUCCCAGAACUCAAAGCUCCUUCCAGAGUUCCUCAGAAACCACAAGUGAUGGUGUUACUCAACAGCCACAGCCGAGGAUUUUAUUUCAACAAGUCCUGCAAAAUCCAUGAGCAACAGGACACAAACCCAGCAUGUGCACACUGUGCUAGCUGGCAAGGCUUUAGUGCAAGCUUUGAACACACACAGUUCACAAAAUAAAAACCUAUAUUGGUUAAUUCUUUAAGGCAUUGUCUAUUCUGGGCCCGUGAAACUCAAGACACACAGCUCGUGGGGCAAACUACUUAAGAAUGAGGCCAAAUUGCAAGCACCUUUUAACCCACUGCUCAGUGGGAUGCUCAAACUUGCAUCAUCCACGCUAAUCACUCUCCUGAGUCUUUCAAGCGUGAUUCUAACACGAAGGUGCUCAUGGGAUGAACAACACCUGGCAAAAAGAGCAAUGCCUCUUCUCUAACAAACUCUGCAUACUACACAAUGUAAAAAUUACAAGAUACAUUAAUGGCAGCGGUGACAGUACAACAUUAACAGCAGCAAUAUUACACUACCACCAGCUCACCCUGAAAGAAAGGCUGUUUCUCUCCCUAGUCUCCAUCAGAGAUGCAGUGGCAAGGAGCUGUUACGGCUACAUUUUAUUUUUUAUUAGUUCUUACAAGCUAACUAUGCUAAAAGGUUGCAUCAGGAAUUCAAACUGCAGUUGUCAGCAGAAGUGAAGGACAUUGUGGGAUACAUUUUACUCAAGCUCUUUUAUUGCUUGGCUUCUCGGAGUGAUUCAAGCAGGACUCGAGAGGUACUGUCGCAACAGUAUCUGGCCCUUAGCAAGCUGCCAUUUAAUAACAAAUAAAUAAAUGCAACCAGCAGCCUUUACAGCACUGGCUGGACCAGCAGAACAAGAGUCAACAACUGCAGAUUGCUACCAAAGUGCUCCCUAUGGGGAUGUGCCUUCUGAGAUGUUACUCGCGCCUGACAGAAGGGUGGUGGUUCCACAGCUCAUGGGAAACAGUGAUUUCUGCAGCCAUGCACACAUCUGUGACACGGUAACACAGCUGACUUCACCUCCCCUAGGCUGAAAAUGAAGUGUGGGAUCUGCCGAGUGGUGUGAUGGGCUCUGCAUUGAAUGGACUGCAGAGGGAUGGAACAGGCUGUAAUUGGGUUUGGUGUGUCCUGCCCACUACUGCCCUAUCACUCAGGUGCAGGUAAUGCCACUUCCCUGAGUGUCAGUCUCAAGAGGAGAGGGCAGAGGGCUGGAAUACAGCAUGACUGGCUCAGACCCAGGCCAAGAAAGACUCAAACAGCACUGGCACAAGUAGAAAUGCUUUCAAGAUUCCCCAGACAGCAGGCAGCUGCUUUUUGUCCAGGCACCAUGUGGGGGUUCUGCUGGACUCUUCUCUACUGACAAUCAAAAAAUGACUUAAUUUGCAUCAGUUAUCCCUUCAACUUGUUGCUGUGCACCACCUGAAGUGCUUGGAGCUGGAAGGGAUGCUGAUCUUCACUCCCAUCCAGCUCUGCUGGGCAGAGCACAUCACGCUGAUCCAAUGUCUCCUGGCUGCCUGCCUGGCACAGCACCCGCUGCUACAUCCCAGAAUGAGAACUAACCUGGAACAGGGAAGAGCACAGUAUCUUGAGGGAGAGCAGAAGGACCACUGAAUCCUGACUCAGAAGAAGACAGAAGGCAGCUGAACCCAGGUCACUGCUUGCCUGGGGCACGGGCAGAGGCAGCCUUGCUGUCUGCAGAUCUCAAUUAAACCACUGAGCUGAAGCAAGAGCCCAACCUAUGUAUCCUAGGGCAAAAGGCAGCUUUAUUUGGUGCUUCCAAAGUGUCCCUGUUAUGAAGGUGAAGUUUCCUGCAGGAGCUGAUGUUCUACUGGUAAUUUAUUUGACCUGCAGAGACAGAAGCUUCAGCACAGUUUUCAACCACAAGAAAUUCCCACACCAACAGUCUCAGCAACUCCAAGACGAAACCACCCAACCCCCUAACCCUGACCCCAACCACAACGCUGCUGCCUGCUCUAUUGCAAAAUGGCUUGUUGUCAGGUCUCUCCACGUCACCCUCUGCAUGUGCAGACACUGCACCAAGAGAGCUCUAUGUUGCCCAGAGUGAGAGCUGAAGAUGCCACUGUGCCAGGCAAGCAUGCCUUUAAGUCUGUGGGAACAAACAGAACGUGCUUUGUGAAGCACAGGCUUUUUAAGCAGAGAUGGCUCUUGCAACCAGACGUGGGAUUUUGUCACUUUUAAGCCUGGGAGCUCUUUUUUACUGCAUUAAAAGUAAGUGCUUCAGGUCACCUUUGAUGCAAAGAGUCACCUACAAGGAGGCAGCUGUCAGAUGGUGCCUCAGUAAUGCAGUAUCUGCUCCUUAUCUAUGGGCUCAGAGCCUCGUGAACGCCUGUGCCAUCUGUACAUUGCAUGUCUGUACUCCAAGUCCCACAGACACUUCUUUGAUGUGUUGGCCUUCGGUGAGCUGGAGCUCCUAAAGGUCUUUGAAGACAACAGCAAUCUGCAUAGAAUUAUAUACUUAAUGGAUAAGGGUCCCUCCAUUCCUUGAAACACAAGUUUCUAGUGUUAAAAAAAAAUACACACGAAUUAAAUUGCAUUUCAGUCUUUAAUUCUCAUUCAUUUUGUUAAGCAAACAGGGCUGCAUUUGGCACAGAUGGAGGAGAAUGGCACACACCACACAGACAGUGCUCACCAACAUCUGCUGCCCACACCGCUGUCAGACUUAACCUGGCUCCUGAUCACUGCUGUCCACGGGAGGAAGGCAGCUCUCUCUGCUGCAGAGAAGGAGCUCCAGUGAGCUUAUGCACAUGUAAGAAUCACUUGGAAAAGUAAAAAAAGAGUAUGGCUGCUUAGGGCAAAGCUAAGUCAUUGAGUACGUUGGACCAGGCUGGAUAUCAGGAAAAAAUUACUUUCUGAAAGAGCAGUGCUGCAGUGGCACAGCUGCCCAGGGAGGUGGUGGGGUCACCGUCCCUGGAGGUGUUCCAGAACUGUGGGGAUGUGGCACUGAGGGACGUGGGCAGUGGGCAUGGUGGGGUGGGUGGGGGUUGGGCCUGGGGAUCUCAGAGGUCUUUUACAGCCUUUAAGAUUUCGUGAUUAUAACAGGUGUUGGAGGUGGGAAAACUCCAACGUAAACAAGGAAGAUCCACAUCCUUCUGGAAAUUAAACCCAGCACCUCAGAUGCAGACCCAGCUGAGCUCACCUUCCAUCCAGCAGGAACUGAGGAUGGAGAAUUUGGAGUCCUGGGUGGCAGUGAGCAAUGUGCCUACCAGGAGCUAGGGAAAGCAAAGCCAGAAACCUAAUGGCGUUGUGGAAUAUUUGGAUGUAUCAGACCUCUCCUCUGACCUCCUCCCUUCUGCAGCUUGCUAAAUGUGACCAUUUUUUUUCCACUUCUCCUUUCAGUAUCCACUGAAAAGCUUUUACUUUCACCCUUCAGUACCAAAACCAUCACAGUCUGCUUUCAUCUCAUCCUCUCCUGACAAUUACAUCCACUUGCUUCCCUAUUUUCUUUUCCUUCAAGGCUUCCAUCCACGCUGCUUUUUUAUCUCACUCACCUGCCUGUACCAUCGUUAUUUUCCACAUUGUCCCACACGCUAUUAUGCAUCUAAAACCUGCUUUCAGCAUGGUUAUUUAAGCCCAUUCUCCUGCACUCGGGUAGAUGAAUAUUCCUGUUGAACCUACAGCAAAUCCUCCAGCUUCUGCUGUACUAAAUGCUUUUAAGGGGAUGCUGAAGUCCAGUGGAAGUUUGGACAAUGCAAAACAUUAAAUAGAGCCCUUUGAUAUUUAAAAGCUGAAACUUUUCCAGGCUAAUGCAGGCAACGUCACAUAAAGCUGGCAACACAACCACCUGGGUCCAUUAACUACACUUGCUCUAUAGCAUUUGCUGUCUGAAUUGUUUAUGCCUCGUUUGAGCACGCAGACUACUCGGCAUAUUAAUACUCUGGAAAAGAAUGUGUAGGAUAGAGCUAGAAAUGAGGGACCAUUGGGGGUGCCUGUUGUUAUGCCAGAAUGACGAUGAGGCACAGAGACAACUCUUGAUCAUGUGCCUUUAGAUGACCAAGUGACAGUAAUGACCACUGAAAUCCCACACUGACAAAGACCUCCUCUAAAGAAUCCCUGAAGUCCUUCCACGUGCUCAAGUCAGCCAAUUGAGCUGCCAGGAUGAGAGCUUUGCAUAGAGUGGGGCUUGGUACAAGAAAAGGACACGUGCACAAGGAUGCUCAAUGCAGCAAUAAGGUGGAUAAGGAGCAAAACACUGUCAGGAUUUCCUUUUGCAGAAGAAAAACAUAGCCAAGGACAAAAUCUUUUGUAACACAGGAGAAAAGAACCUUCAGAUAGAAGCCAUUUUGCACGUACUGCUUAUGCUCAAGAAGACAUUUGGGGAUAAAUAUUGGACCUUCUAAUGAAGGUCCUCUGUGGUUGGCUUGUUGCUACUUUACCCAAAGUCAUCUAACCCCCUGUUGGAGAUAUUACACAUCGUUUUCACAUUAGAGCAGUUGGGUGGCAUGAAGAAUUAGCAUGCAAGCAGAGGGAUGCUCAGCAGGGGUAAAUUAGCUGCUUCAAAGAAAAGCAAGAGGCACAUUAGAGCCUGUUCCAGCACAGAAGUCCUUCCCUGCGCUGCAGACAGAUAAUGCAGCAAAGCACAUGGAAGGAGCAGCACUUCCCUUUGAGAACAUUUCCUAAGCUUCCCAUCAGCUGUGGAAAUUUAUUCAAAAGGAAGCAGUCCAAGCAAGAACUUCCAGCAUUCUCCUGCUCAAAACCACUCUCACUACGGCGUUUUGCUUUCACAGCAGAAACGCUGCUAAGGGAUUUUGCCCCCAGGAAAGGGGAACAGAAACUGCCUUUGCAGUGUCUCUGUGCAGAACUGUACUGGCACAAGCUGUUCAGAAGCCACUGCCUGACAUGGCCUGUGUUGUGACACCGGACUGACACAUCCCAUGCCUUCCUUUGUGACCAUGCCACGGGCUUUCUGCAUGAGCAGAACAGACUCAGCAUCUCUGCAUCCACACAGAUAAAGCGUGCGGCUGCGCAUCUCCCAGUGAACCCAAAUACCUCCUUUUAGUCACAGGACCUCCAAAGAUGCACUGAGGCUUGGUCCAGAGAGACAGAAUCCAUCCCCUCCUGGUCACUUCCUCCAAUGAUCCAUCACAGCAGUGCCUAUCUCCUGACCUCCCACUCUGAACCACUCAAACUUCUCACCACCUCCAGCAGACCUGGCAGUACCCAGUACUCUCUCCCCAAGCAAAGAAGUUUGGUUUAGUUUGCUCUUGACACAGUGGGAGAUUUAAGAAGUUCAAGUCCAGACAUUUAUCCCCCUCCUCCGCUGCCCUGCUGCUCUUUGCACAUGUUCUUUAGUUUUUCCCACGUCUAUUUUAAAAGUACGGAUAUCACAGCUAUAUAAACUACUUCACCAGUAUCCCUGUGGAAGCAGCUUCAGGAAGUAAAAACAUCCUUUUUUUCCUAUCCCCUAGCUGCACACCCAUAGAUGGCAUUACUCAUUACUGCACCGUCACUCUGGGAACUCGAGCAGGCUGGUGGGCUGGGAAAAGCCCCAAACCUCUUCCCAGUGCUGACAUCUCUCCAGGCAAAGCCUCCGUGCUGGAGUGCUUCACACCCGACUUGUGGGAAGGUGGUUCAUAAAGUCAUCUGGAUUACUCCAAGCCGUUUAUCACAUUCUGAUAAUGAUUUAUGACUCCAUCGGUUUUCUGAAGCCCACAGAUUUUCUCAGCACCAAUUCCGCGCUUGAUGAAAAUCAUCAGAAUAGGCAGGAUGAAAUUAUUACUACGAAUUACUACGUUCAAACUUAGUAUGGACUACUGCGAUCACAUUUGCAGUGCUGCAGCUUCAUCGCAGCCUUUAUCUGACUUUUAUUUCUCAUACUGGUGAAGAAAUGAGCAGAGAUGAGGGCUUCCACUGCCUUCAACAGCUCUAACACAGCCCAGCCACCCAACGCUGAACUUGUUCACAGCUGUGAUAUGCCACAGGUUCACAGAAAGCACAACGUAUUACAGCCCAUUUCUCUUCACCAAGAAAAAAGGAAUUAAGUGGGAAAAGUCAUCCUUAAAAAUAAAUCUGAUUGUCUACUGACCAUCAGUCAGAAUGAACUUAGAAAACUGGCCAAUCUAAGCAUUAGAUUUUGAGAAGAGGGUUCUCUCAGCCUUAUACGUGAGGCUCAGAGGUAGGGAGGGACUGGGAACGGCAGCUUCUGCUAACCUAGAGAUGCUUCAGACCUCAAUAUACCCACAUACAGAUAUCCAUUUUACUGCUAACACACAACUAUAUGUACAUACGUAUUGUCACAUACACACAUGCACACAGAGCACAAGCCCCACUAACCUUGCACAACAAGAUACAGGGUCUCCAAGAAGCACACAGUGCUCUGAGAACGAUACCCCCGCAGUGCGCUUCCAGCAGCUUCCCAAAAUCACAUGCACUGUAACAGCAGCAAGGAGAGGAUCCAGCUCGAGGGAGGCAUUCAGCGAUGCUUAAGCAACACAGCUUUUCUCUCUCCCGCUCCAACUCCCUGCCCCUGUUCCCCAGCACAUUUCCAAAUUGGCUCAACUUUGGUGGAUUUGCAUGGGAACUGCAAAAGAGACAUCUGCCAAACAUCAAGUCAUUGCUCCCAAGAGCGGGGGCAAGGCAGCCUAGAAGGGAAAAAAUGGUCAGUGUGCUUUCAGUUUUAUUUUUUUCAGUGUAAGAACUGUGUAUUUUCUCAGCCUCGUUCUCCACAACAGCUGAGUUGUUUUCACUGGAGCACUCCCAAGUAGCACAUCCCUUUGCAGACAACUCUCCGAAGCGAAGUUUGACAAAAUAGAAGCGACUGCAAAUAAGGUUUUCAAACACAGAGCACCUGGCAGGCUUUUAAUAAUGACUAUUUCCAUCAGCCCCCACUGCUGGCCAGACAGCAGAGAGGUUUUACACCAACAGCCAUCUAUUCCCACAGGGAAAUAGUGGCUGGAAGAUGCUUAGGAACGCCACCGUUUACCUUUCCCAGAUGAAAUCUGCAUUGAUCUCCUUUCUCUCAUUACCUACCGUAAUCUGCAGUGUUGUUUUGUUGCACUGUCUAAUUAAGGACACAUGUUCCUUUGGAUAAAGAUCUCAACAUCUUGCUCAUCCACAAAAGCUACUCAGCACACAGAUGCUGCUUUGCAAGCAAAACCAUUGAUUUUAGCCACGAAGGUACCGGUUUCACAUGAGCAUUCUAACAAGUGCAUUUAAGCAAAAUUCUCUUUAACCAUCCUUGUGUUCAUGCAUGGAUCCCUCACAGCAGGGUUUCCGAGCGAGCAGAAGAUGAAUGCUUGCUGUGAUACACAGUAUUUCCAUAAUCAGGAUUUCAUGUUACCCAAAAGCAGUUAUUUUGUUUUCUUCGAGUCUCCAGCAAUCCCUGAAACACGUACAGCUUGGGACAACGGAGAUGGGGAGCAGUUGCACACCCUGUGGUAUUUCAGGGGCUGAUGAAAAACAGCAGGGAGACACUCCCAGACACCCUGCUGUCUACAUGUGCCUCUCCAUAUCCACAGCCCGUGAAAUCCCACAUUGCACAAACCCAGGGGCAGCUGAACUGAACGCACUGAGAGCAGCAUGUAACGAGGAGACAGAGAGCUCUGUGAAGGAUGCAGAUACAGCCUGACACUGCUGGUCCUUUGGGCUCCUUCAUUUUGGCAGCAGGGGUCUCCAUGAGGUCCCAUCAAACAGAAAUGACUCAAGCAAGUGAUCUUCCUGAGGGCGAUGGAGAAGCAUGGGUUCUGUGAGGCUCGGGAAUAAGAACAUCAAAUCAAAGCCUGGGAAGCCCGCGCUGCCCUUCGGAAAAUGGCCUGGUAAAUUCUUAUACUGUUAAGUCCUGCCUCUCUACCACAAACUCAGUUGUGCUGAGAGGAGCUGAAGUUGCAAUGAAUACCAGCAAAACAAAAUCGGGGAACAAAAGCUGGCAUCCAGUAAACUGACCAAUGCAUUUGGACAGCAGCAAGCUACUGGCGAGCUGGUGAGCUCCUGGCACCCAGCCCUGUAGCUCCCACAGCAAGGCAACAGCAAGAGAGGAUGGAGGGUGAGUCUGCAGCCCUGUUAGCCCAGGGCUAAUACCUGUGUGCCAACUGCCCUUCCACAGGAAGGUGGGAGCAUCUGUGCUCGUCUACAGCUUCCCAAGCUAUAAGGAAGUCCUCUGAGUACAUCCCAUUUACAAGCAAAACCAGACAGCAACUUUAUGGUCACUAAGCUACCUGUGCAUAGCAAGCCUGCAAAAUCUGCAAGGACUUCCAAUUCGUUGUUAUUAACACAUUCUUUGUAUUAAUCUUCCCCAAGUGAUCCAUUGUGGGAAUUUAUGUAUGACCCUCUAUUGAAAACCACAGUAACUCUCUCCCUGAACAUACCACGGAGCUUGAACACAUGAAAGCAGAGAGCCUGAAGAGGCUGAUGAGAAUCAUUUGCCAGUAACACUGGGAAGGACAAUCUGGUUUUAUGGGACAUUUUAUAGUAUGUUUUUCCAAAUUAAAACUAAAACAGUUCCCAGAUGGAAGCUGUACCAUUUCAACUUCAACCUUAGAAAUACUUUGUUGUUGUUGUUGCUUUUAAAAACAUGCAAAGCUUCAGGAAAUCUGAGCUCACAGAAGGGCUGGCAGCUCUUUGCAUCGCUCAGAGAAGACUCAGGCAUGAUGGCACAAACCUUGACAUAUUUUUUUGGUCAGAGAUUCAAAUAAUAAGGAAAAGUUCGUUUCAGAGCAGCAGCAAAGUUUGCCCUUAUUUCUACAAUGCGUGCAUCAGACUGUGGAAAAUUUCCUUACAAAGCUCCAGGCAUCUACACAGGCAGCUGGAGUGGGAAACGUAUUUCCUUGCUCACAGUGUGCUAAUCCAGUGACUCUGAACUAAAUAGCUUGCUUCUGCAAAUUGAUUAUUUUAUUUUUCGAAGUGUCCCAUAUAGAUGAAACGUGGCCCUAAUACACUUUCCAAGUCACAGCUUUUUCCCAGGAAGCAACGUCUAAAGCUUGAAUGUAGCUUUUAAUUUGCAUCAUCAAUGCUUAACGCAGACAAUAGUCUGGCUCAUCCCUUCAUGCUUAUUUUGGUGCUGGAAAGGCAACAAAGAACAGAGUAUUUUUGUCAAGCAAUUGCAAAUGCACAGAAUUAGAGAAGAUAUGGGAGAUGAAAGCAGGGUCUUUGCUUACUUCUGAGAGCAUGCAAAGGUGCAGCUAGCACCUGGCUCCAUCUGCAUAUCACAGAACCAGAGAACAGCCUGGGUUGAAAAGGACCACAAUGAUCACCUGGUUUCAACCCCCUGCUAUGUGCAGGGUUGCCAACCACCAGACCAGGCUGCCCAUGACACAUAUUCCUAAUUUGUUAAGGACAAAUGUGGAAAUAGUUUCAUCUACAGGACCACAGGGAUGGAAAGCACAGGUCACCGUCCCUUGACCAGGCACCUCCAGCCACCUGUCCUCAUUCCUUCUGCAGGCACUUCUCAUCCCAUACCUAACGCUGCCCUUAUUCUGAUUUCUGGCUCCUUCCCAAACCCUCUCUCUCCCCUCCCCCCUUCUCUUUGGUGUCAUCGCCAACACCCACUUUCAAUCUCCAUUACAGUUUCUGCUGGGUGCAGAGAUCCUGUUUCAGCUGAUCACUACAACACUGCCUGUGCUUUGCAUUAAGGGAGGAUCGAGUUAUGCCACAGCUCAUCAAAGCCCACGACACUGUCAGUAACCACUACAUCAGCUUUCACCCUGCCUGAUGGAAGAGAAAACUGCCUUGGCCAUACUAGAGAGGCCAGAAGGGAAAAGUAUAGUUAUCGUUGUAACAGGAUCUCGUAAUGGAGUGAAAAUUGUGCUGUCAACACAAGCAGGACACACCAUGCUGGAGAAGUUUUCCUUUUUCCAAAGGACUUCAGGCAGCACAGACAGAAGCAGAAACACCACCUGAUCCCACAUGCAUUUGUUCCUCAAAUUAUUCUCCAAACCUGUUCCUGGUCCAUCUUCCUGGUAGGUCUAUCUUAGCUGUACUCACAGAUCUCUUUAUGAAGUAAUUACAAAUGCUUAUUUCAAACAGUAUGAUAUUAAUCUCAGGGACAGAAAACUCUCAGUGGUUGCUAUCACCCUGCCACAAGGUUCCAUGGGAUCCACGCCACGGAUUGCCCUGAACCCAUUCUUUGCUAGAGGGGGCAUUGAAGGAGGUUGGUAAGCACCACACUCCCAAUAACAGAAAGUGCAGGUGUCCAGAUUCACUUCUGCUUGCUGAAAACCCCAGGACACUGCAAGAUCAGAAUAAGAAUACCAAUCAUAGAUAUUUAAUGCGAUAAUUUGACAGGCUGAGGGAGCUGGGCUUGUUCAACCUGGAGAAAAGAAGGCUGCAGAGUGACCUCAAUGCAGCCUUUCAGUACCUAAAGGGAGCCUACAAACAGGAGGGCAGUCAACUCUUUGAAAGGGUAGAUAAUGGCAGGACAAGGGGAAAUGGUUUUAAGUUGAAGAAGGGAGGAUUUAGGUUGGAUAUCAGGGAGAAGUUCUUUACCAAGAGAGUGGUGAGGUGCUGGAACAGCUGCCCAGAGAGGCUGUGUAUGCCUCAUCCCUGGAGGUGUUCAAGGCCAGGUUGGAUGGGGCCCUGGGCAGCCUGGGCUGGUAUUCGAGGUGGAGGUUGGUGGCCCUGCCUGUGUGGGGGGGUUGGAGCUUCAUGAUCCUUGGGGUCCCUUCCAACCCAAGCCAUUCUGUGAUUCUGUGAUUCUAUCUUAAAGCCAUUUACCCCUUGUUCUAUAGAUAAAUACUCCCAAGGUGUCUCAGCCCUUCUCCCUGGGAGAGGUGUUCUGGUCUUCUAACCAUUUCUGUGACCGUCCUCUGGAAGGCCUUCUUCCUGACUACUUCUAGCUGAUAAUAAUCUUUCCAUCUCCCAGACAGCUGUAUUUCCAUAGAGAUAUGAACAUACAGUGGUCUAAGGCUUAGAGAGCCUGCAAAUGAAAAGCAUUAUAGGACACUUAAGGCUAUUAUCCUUGUGCUGUAGCCCAGAAGCCAGCCUUUAAGAGAAAAGCUGAGAAACAAAGCUCUUCCAAAAGAGCUCAGUGGGAGGUUUCUGUGCAAAAAAAUGGGAGGUUGGGGAAUUGGGAAAUAUCAGAGAAUAACAAAUUAAUCUUCCAAGUUCAUUUCAUUGCAUCAACUCUAUUGAGCGAAAAAGGCUGCUCAGAGGGUACGAAUGGAAUUAAGCACACCAUUUUAGGGAAAACAGCUUCAGAAAAGCAGAUCUGCUAGGGAAAUCAAAAAGGCAACAGAGGUCAAGCAGAAGGAAUGGACUUCCACUCAGCUUUUAAAGCGAGGGGUGGCUGAAUACCAGCUGAAGUUCCUGAGAUACAAUUCAGCAAUUAAAUUCAAGCCAAAAGGGAGGACCUCCAACAAGAUCUAGUAAACAAGAUAGAGAUGGGAAAAGUCCCCCUCUAAAUGCCAUAAUUAAGACAUGCAGAAGAAAACAAAUAAUGACAAACUCAUUUGGUGAUCUCUGCUGAUCCAGGAACAGAAGAGCCCCAGAGCUAGAAGUAGCUAAUAGGCAGCUGAGAGAGAGAAACACGUCGCAAUGGCUCCCUGUAUCUGAAAGGAAUUAUCCAGCAAUGACACACAAGGCUGUGCUUGAAACAACAGAAAUGCAAAUUCAGAGAUGCAAUUUUGAGCCAUCUUCAGGUAAUGAAGCUCUACUGGAACAUGAAAAAGUCCCAUGAGAUCAGGACGACUCCCAUUUUUCAGCGUUAAAGCCACAGGAUGAUGCCCAAUGGAGAAGAGUUUAGCUCCUAAUCCAAGGAUGCAGCCUGACAGCCUCCCACUUACUCAUUUCACUCAACACGAACCAAAUUUUGCACAUGAAAUCCCCGAAGCUUGCUUCAUUUCCUCUCCCAAGCUUGUGCUUGAAGCCUACCACCCUUCAUUCCCCCACCCAAGGUGGCUGGUACCAGCUGCCCCAAGAGCUGCAUGCCUUGCCCGAAACGGGGCAUGCGGUCAAUAGGAAAAAAAGGGAUAGAAGGAAAGAAUCAACCUUUCAGAAACAGACACUGAAGCACAACUGUUUCCAUAUAGCAAGCAAUAUUUUCCUGACAUUUCCCAAACAAACAUAGCGAACACUUUACCAGCACCAUGACCAUCGCUCUCAGCACACCACUUCCAUGACAGAGAAUAGGCAGGCCAAGCAAAGCUGGAAACGUGGUGACAAGCUCAAGCCUUAACAGUUGCAUGGAGGAGCAAGUAAUUAUUAUGAUGCUCAGAUGAGCUCAUCUCUUGUUCUCAUCAAACUUGUUUGUUAAGUUAUCGUUCACUCAAUAAUCUUCCAUUCCCUCUUAAGGCAUCAAAGCACAGGGAGGCAGUGCUGGGUUGUGCCUCUGCUACUGCUGUCCUCACCCAACAAAUAUCACAGAUUCCAGCAAGGAUUGAAGCACUUGCACCAUGCUGAGAUUUAUUGUUAUAAAAACAAUUACCGACACACUUGGCAGAAUUCAGCAUUCUCUUCCAGGGAGAAGAAAGAUUGCUACAUUUCAUGUGGGAGUCAGACAACUCUCAGAAUGAAGUUCACACAGACAAACAUGGACACAAAUCUUCAUGAAGUCACACAACUCCCACACCCCUUAGUGGGAGCCAGAGAUACUCAAUUCAAUUUGGAGCAUCAAAUCCCUCAAGCCAGAAGCAUCAGCGAACAACUGCAUCCUGCCAUGUACUCUGCGAUGUAUGACUCGGGAUCUGAUCAGGGAAAAAGAAGUUAUCAUGUUGUAUUUCAAUCUUCUGUUUCUUAAGCCUCUGCCAAUAAGAAAAGAGUUUGUCACAAAGAGCUAGCUCACUGUCCAACAGAUGUGUGCGGUGGGACAAGCUCCUGCCUGCUCUCCCAGAACAUUACUCUGAACUGCAAACAGGAGCAAGGCUUUAAGUGCUGAAGCAACACGAUCCAGCAUGAACACACGCUUCCCUGGGAGGCAGCCUGUGCUCAAGUCCACUUGAAAACUCACCCAACCUUUGCAGUGUGCAUCCACUUCUGUGGCGAGGACAUGUCAGGAUGGAUGUGGAAGCUGUGCAAGGAUCCAGUCCCAAAGGAAGUACCAACAGCAGUGAACCUAUUGGGGAAUGGAGGUACUCCAUUGGAGGAACAUGGUUUAGUGAGCAUAGUGGUGAUGGGUUGAGAACUGAACUUGAUCUUAGUGGUGUUUCCCAACGUUGAUGGUUCUAUGAUUCUACUCUUCCCAUUUUACAUCUGCUUAGGGUCCUGUAGGGAAGCUGUGGCGAAACCUGAGUUGAACUUCUAACUUCUUAAUCUAAAAGCAGGUAGGCUUAACUUAAUUCUCUUGGAAACUGUAAAUAAACUAAAUUUGAGUAGUAUUGACUUUUACAGGGAGACCUUCAAAAAGUAUUGUUAGCAACAAGCUUAGCAUUUGGAAGAGCAAAGCUAUAGGUCUUAACUAUCCAGGCUCAUAGUAACUUGAUAAUACAAAAAAUAAUAAUAAAAAAAAGACCCCCUCUCUCCUCCUCUCCAAGGGCAGAGACCAAAAGAGGAGGGCAAGGCAGACAUGAGACACAGUUUGUGGCAGAAAAGGUUUUAUUCUACCCCCCAGAUUUGGAGAACAUGCUAUAUUUCGCAUAGAGAUCGUGGAGAAUGAGUUGGGGGAAAGAGAAUAUCAAAACCAAAACAAGUCACGAGGCACCAACAAUCCCUUGAUGACAGGAGAGUAGUUUUUGUUGGCACAGCUCACGACAGCUGGAGGAAUAAUUGCAAAGCUGAGUGAGAAUGCCUAGAAUAUAUGUUGCCUUUACCUUCUCAAAUGAAAGCUGCUAUCCACAAGCAUUUUGCUAAAGUUAAUUAAAUCCACACAGCCCGCUUUGGCAGAUCAAGAAGUAUUUAUCCUUAUUUUGUAAAGAAGGGGAUGAAUAUCUCUGGUACUUUUCACAUCAGGUAUCUACUUAUGAAAUGCCCCAUAGAUACACUAAGCAUCAAAAGCACGCAUUACCCUGCCCAGUCCAGCGGCUGUCCCCAGCAUAUAGCCAGGGCAGAGAUGAUGAGGCUUCUGUUUUUCCCCUGCCUACUGCCCCAGCAGAAAUCUUGACUUCACAAGGAAGCCAGCCAGCUCUGGCUGUGCAGAUCAACAGCAGAGGUGAAUACAAAUGCUGCAGACGAGCUUUAAAGCAAUACUGCCCCUUUAUAAUUUGUUAAAAAAAAAAACGAAACAUGUCAACUGCUCUUCCUUCAAGUUUUCUUUAUCACAGUGAUUCAGCCUUACGAGACUGCAGGGCUUCACGCUCUGAAAUGUCUCCCUCACUUCUGCUCUACUCCUUGUGGGACUGCUGCUUCCCAACACUGCUUUACAGCCACCCACCGCUGUACAGUCACAGCCCAGGGACACGUCCUAUGCUCUCGGGCCACUUACCUACACUCAGAUCACGCGCUGCCAGUUCAAGAGCUCCACAGCAGGGAGGGAAAAGCAUGCCCUUGUCACCCCCAGCAACCUGCCUGCCGUCACACCAGCUCUGCUCUGCUGAAAGAGGAGGAAUGCUUCCCGCAUCUCCCCCACGCGAUGCUCCAAUUAGGGACUGGAGCCUCAGCUUUGGCUGAGUUCCUCCUCGCUGAGCCCCAGGCAAGCGCCUGUGAAUCCAGCAGCAAACAAGUUUCAUCCAUCCUCCCUUUAAUUACAUGUUGUAUCAGCACAAUAAGUAUUUGAAAGUAGCUUUAUGCCUAGCCGUCAACAGCAACUGCUACCAAUCCAAAGGAGCUGCCUAUUCUAUAUGGCAAUAUCUACAAUGCUCUUCAACAUGAUAAAAUAAAACACUGUUAGUGCAAAUGUCAUCCAGCGUCCUGAGUGCAAGCAGGGAGAAAGAAAGGCUGGUGAAAUAUUUAUCAGAAAGAGGCAUGAAGAAUUUGAGACACCUGCAUUCAUUCCCGUUGUCUGCAGAAUCGAGCUUAUAUCUAAAAAAAACCAAAACAGUCAUUAGCUAAACUGACAUGGAGAAUUUAGUAUUCGAGAGAAGGGUCAGUGUUUGGGAUCUAUAAAGAGAAGCUGGGAACAUCUGCAGGGACAGGAAGAAUAUGCAUAAACACACAGUGUGAACUAAAAUACACAGUGUGGCAAUGCUUGCAAUCUUACCAUGAGAAUAUGAAUAUUUGGAGUUCUUCCCCAUCUAAAAAUGCCCUUCAGACAGCUGAUUAUGUAUGUAUUUCAUAUGGAAAUGCAUCUAAUGAUGUAAAUGGAAAGGGAACCUAAGAAUAAGUGGAGCACAUCCAAAGACUUUAGAUAGCAAAAGGCAUAAAAUCGACUACUUUUAAAACAUUUCAACAUAUGCAUAGCCUAGGAGAAGAUUGGAAAUGAGCAGUGUAAAAUAUAUAGCUUAAAACCUUGUUUUCACUUUAAUUUCUUCUUUAACUCUUGACAAAGACCCCCUGUGCCUUACAGUGCUGCUCAUGCAGCAGCUGCUGAGUGAUGCCCAUUGCCCUCAGGCCAGACAAGCACAGGUCCUGCACUUGCUACAGAGACAACUGAUGCCUUAGUGAAGCCAAGUCCAUCUUAAAUCCCUUGGAUGUACCAGUUCAGCAGCAAUUACCAGCCCACCUAUGGGGCUUACUAUGUGGCGAGCACACCGACUUAAAGCAUUCUUCAAACUAAAAUACCUGUCAGGAAAUAGGAGCUUAGGGAUACAAGCUGCCAUUCAAACCAUCCAGUCUCACUGUCUAGAAUAUUUUACUCAGGUUCAGCAUCUUUCCAGACACGUUUCCCUGCAUGCAGCACAGUAGUGAGGACUUUUGCAAACUGUCCAUCACAACUCCACCUGCUCUCUAAGCCCACUUCUUCAGCCACAUGGGCCUGCCUGCCUAAAGACAUGGAGACCAAGCAGAGGAGACAAAAAGCUUCCCCUGGACUCAUUGGCAGCCUGAGCUGCUUCUUUUGGGAGCCUGCAACUUUCUGCUGCAAGGCACAGUUUGCAGAACCAGGCUAUGUACAGCAGCAUACACCCCCGAGAAGUCAGCUUAGUGGCUACUGUGUGGGACACUGACUACCUACUCUCUGCCAAUCCAAGGCCAAGGCAGUGCCUAACACCAAGCAAAUCUGAAACCUGGCCAAAGAAGCAAACAGCCAGUGGUGUAAUGCCGGCAUUACACGUGCUGUUACAAUCUGGCACUGUGAGGAGAAAAGUUCUGGGGUGGGACCAGCAGAUGUUUGCAGCUGCAAUUGGUUAGACCUGCUCUGACCCCCCGCCCCUGUGGGGACCCGGAUAUGGUCACUGCACCCAGACUCAGCCCUGGCUCUUCCCAUGCUGCAGGUUGUUUCCUUUGCCAUACAGCUCACUGCUGCUUCUCCAAUCUGCUCACUGAGGAUGGAGGUAACACAGGAGUUAAAAUAAUGCAUCUCAACCACAUUUUUAGUGAUAAGAGUCAAUUUUGGGGGGGGGCUCGAAAUUUCACCUAUGCCCUUGGCUUCUAGAUAAAUGAGUAAAUACUAUGACAUUAUUAAAUGCAUCCACUGCACACCAAACAAGUCCUGCAGAAAUCUAUUUAUUCGCAGUACACCUCAUCUUGAUGACACCUUCCAAUCAAGGCACCUCCAGGCAAGAACUGCUGCCCUGUUUUAACACAAUGCAAUGUGAUGCAGCUGGACUGACUGUACCUGGCUGCUGUUCUGGGGUCCUUCCAACGAAUGCUCGUGGCUUUGGAGCUCAUUUGGGACAUCCACCUCCCUGUGAGGACCCUGCAACACAACAUACAGCUGUGCUUGGGCUGACACUCGGGAGGACAGGAGCCGUCAGAGGGCAGCCUUCUACUUUCCUGAUACCAGAGUUGUUUCCUUCUUUAUGAUAAGAAACAGAGCACAUUUUUGGCCUUCCCACACAUAUCCAUAGUUGCGUGACUGCCAACUCUUUUAUCACUUCCUAUCACCCUUGAUUUUUUUUUAAAUCUUGCCCAAGGUUAUGUUCAGUAAAGGUUUCUCCCUCAAAAUGCUGCACUGAAAACAUUAUCACAGUCACACCUGGAAAUUGCAUCAAAAUCCUUCUUGAAAAUGCCUGUUUCCCAAAGGGCAGCCCAGCUGAGCAGAAAAGCAGCAAAUUCCUGCCCUCCUCUCUUUGCAGGUGUAGCACUAUCCUUGAAGUUGAAGGAUUUUUUGCCCCUAUGUGUUAUUAUUUAUUUACGGAUAGAGGUACUAACCUCUCAAUCUGCCCUUCCCAGCUCCUCUGUUAUCUCUUUGCAGCUGCUCAGGGGUGGCUGACAGCUCCUAUAGCCAGGAAACGUUUCACACUUCAGAGAAGCAGCAGUUUCUUACAAGCAGACUCUUCCAGAUCAUCCUUCACUGAGCCUAAUGACUCUAGAAAGAUCCCUGGGGAAGGAACACUGCUGCCAAUGAGCUCCAUUAAGUAUCCAGCAAGAAUGAGCAAAACAUUUCUUUUUUCAUUCAUUUUCCAAGCUGGCUCUAGCACAGAAAACAUCACAGAGCGUAUGCUGCAGAAACAACGUGCCCACAAUUCCUGCACAUUUUUGAAGCAAGGUGGCUGUAAGCAAACACAACUAUUUCCAGGGGAGCAACUUGAUUUGGGAAAGCACCAUAAUACAAAAGCACUGCUUUUCUGAUGGUUGCCCCACGCAUCACUUCUCAUGGGGAGGUGGUGGGGUCACCAUCCCUGGAGGCGUUCCAGAACCGUGGAGAUGUGGCACUGAGGGACGUGGGCAGUGGUGUUGACGGGAUGGGUUGGGGGUUGGCCUUGGUGAUCUUGGAGGUCUUUUCCAGCCUUAAUGAUUCUAUGAGAGAAAGCUGAACAACUGCAAAUACCUUUUAAACACUGACAUGUGAGACUUCACUUAGGACGUGGUUUUGCGCUGAAGCUCAGCAGAUCCAAUGGUGUCUUGCUGCAGAAAAGAGAUCUCUUCCCCUACUUCCAAGCCUGUGUCCUCGGUGAGCUGAUUCGGGGAGUUGGACUGGGAGGAAUCAGGCACACAUCAGCACAAAAAGAUCAGUGGGAGCACAACGCUGGGAGCUGAACCUUCCCUUGCAGCAGCAGCAUGACAAUGUAUCAGUUCAGCUACAAUGCACAAGUGCACUCUAAAUUUAGAUAGCUUUCUAACUAUAAAGACAUAUCUCACAUCCAUUAUUCCUCUCCCAACACAAGGAUGAGCUAUUCUAUUAUAAAUGCUUUGAUAUCACCACAGCGCUCUCUACCCCACAGGAGCAGACAUCAAUUGUCAUUAAAGUGGUUCCAUUUCUGAACGUAGAAAAAAAGGGAGACCACGCUAAUGGUGGUGAAGGACAGGUUGCCCAAGGAGAGGAAAGAUCACAGGUUUAGGAGGAAAGGGAAAAAACCCACAGAUGACUUCACCUGGCCUUGGGCUGCUGCUCAUUAAUGCUUCCAAGAGUCACCUGACAGGUGAUGACCUACACUGCUCUUGGCCUAUGCGCUUAUCAUCCAUCUCAGACAGCACCAAAUCCCCUUCAUGUGCACAGUGUAAUGGGAAUGCUUAUUCUGAAUAAGACAAACAGGAGAAACCAAGAAAGAAGAAAAAGAACAAAACUGCAGGCCUCAAUUUGCCUGAGAAAACCACCAGAAGGCUCAGCGAUGGCAUCAUGCAAUGGGUUUCACCACUCACUUCCCUCAGCCACUCUACAUUUUCACCUUCUCCGCAAGAGGAAAGCCUCUCUGAGCACAAACUCUGGGCUGUGUGGGCAGAAGACGUGGUUGUUUCCUCCUGUUGAUAUUUCUAUCUACCCCCCAUUGGUUUGGGAUUUCUCAGAGAGCUUUUAAAAAGCUUUUCCCAUUCAGGCUUUGCUCCACUUUAAGAAGUUUCUGGAGCGUGUGAACUCUGUGUUCAAGGCAGACACAGACACCCUUCUAUUUCAGAUACUCUGCUUCAGCAGCUAAUAGCCAACUUUUGCCCCAUUUUUUUUCCCUAACUACGGUUUGGAAAAAAAAAAUGCAGCCAUAAACACUUACUUAAAUAUGCAAGGAUUUCUUACUGCACCAAAAUAAAUACACGAAUAUUUUGUCAAUUUAAAGAAUCAUUCGGGUUGGAAAAGCCCUCUGAGAUCCCCAGGCCCAACCACAGCCCACCCCACCGUGCCCACUGCCCACAUCCCUCAGUGCCACAUCCCCACGGUUCUGGAACACCUCCAGGGACGGUGACCCCACCACCUCCCUGGGCAGCUGUGCCACUGCAUCACCACCCUUUGAGAGCAGAAACGUUUCCUAACAUCCAACCUGAGCCUCCACUGGCACAAUUUGAGGCGAACAUGUCUCAUCCUAUCACUGUUACCCAGGAGCAGAGGCCAUUCCCCACCUCAUCACAGCCUCCUUUCAGGGAGAUGCAGGGAGCAAUGAGGUCUCCCCUGAGCUCCUCUUCUCCAGACUGACCCAUCCCAGCCCCCUCAGCUGCUCCCCCAUAACACCUGUGCUCCAGACCCUUCACAGCUUCACUGCCCUUCUCCGGACACACUCCAGGACCUCAAUGUCUUUCUUGUAGUGAGGGGCCCCGAACAGAGCACAGUACUCAAUCCCACCAGUACAGAGUACAGAUGAACUGUUACCAUUCCUGCAGGCUACACUGUUUCUGAUACAAAAUCCCCCCUGCUCCAUCAUGCAAAAGAUCAAGAACUGUGUUUACAGUCCCACAGCCAUCAGCAGACCUGAUGAACCACCUCACUCUGCAUCUCAAAGGCAGAAGCAUAUAGCAACAAAGAUACACUUGAAUGGCAAACCCAAGAGUAUUGGCACAAAUUAGUUCCCCAGAGACCUAAGGCAGGCUUCCUUUUCCCCCUCAAAGGAAUCAGCUCUGCAACGCCUCACAGUGAGGGCUUUAGGCAGAAUUAAAAGGACACUAAAUCUGUCUACAGGGAAAGAGCAGCUGGAUCAGCACAUGAUGAAGCAGAGGAUUCAGGACGAAAGGGAAGAAGUGCGUUUUCCCCUCCUUAGGGGCAGUUUCAAUGCAGCAAUGCAUUCAUCUUCCAUUUCUCCCAACUCAGAGCUCUAUUCUGAAAGUACUCUCAUAAGACUUGAAGUACACCUGUAAGAUCUGCAUCAUCCAGAGCAGCAGCCACAGCUGGACGUUGGCACAGAGGGUUGAGGCCCUGUGCAAUGCCACUGAACCCAUUCCAGAUCAGCCACCCACAUCCUGUCUCUUUUCAGAAGUGGAAAUACUAGCAGGCAGGGUCAUAACCUGGCUCUUCAGUGAUGAUUAUUAAAGAUUCAAGUUUCCAGGUAAUUUUUUCCUGCAGCACUGUCUAAAACAGGUCCAAGGCUGAAGCUUGCUCACAGAAGCAGAAAUGAAAUUUCAGGCCAGUAAUCUAAAGGGGGGCAACAAGAAAGAAGGGCACAGACUCCUUAGCAGCGUCUGCUCUGAUGGGGUGAGAGGAAAUCAUUUCAAAAUAAAACAGCAAAGAUUUAGAUUGGAUAUAAGGAGAAGCUUUUUUACAGUAAGGGUGGUGAGGCACUGGCACAGGUUGCCCAGAGAGCGGUGGGUGCCCCAUCUCUGCAGACAUCCAAAGUCAGGCUGGACGGGGCUCUGAGCACGGAUGGAGCUGUGGGUGUCCCUGUCCAUUUCAGGGGUGUUGGACCAGAUGGCCUUUAAAGGUCCCUUCCAACUCAAAUGAUUCAAUGAUAAUAGUUACAGUGAGAAAAGACAGACCCUUGCUCACCUCCAUAAGCCAAGAUUUCUUCUAAAACUUUAAGCAUCAUCUCCACAGUGAGAUGCCCACCUCCUCCACACCUGAACUCCCUGUAGGCAGCAGAAAGGCUGGCCUAGGCUUGCUUUUAGUUCCUGUGCCACUUUGGAGGUAGUGUCAGAAAAAGGGUCAGAAAGAAAUCACUAUUUUCCAGCCAUCAGCACCCCGACAGCAGUGGGUCUGAGUCCCACAAGGGUGGAUAGUGAUAGGAUGGGGGGAAUGGUUUUAAACUAAGACAGAAGUGAUUUAGGUUGGUUAUUGAGAGGAAGUUUUUCCACCCAGAGGGUGGUGACGCACUGAACAGGUUGCCCAAGGAGGCUGUGGAUGCCCCAUCCCUGGAGGCAUUCAAGGCCAGGCUGGAUGUGGCUCUGGGCAGCCUGGUCUGCUGGUUGGCGACCCUGCACAUAGCAGGGGGUUGAAACCAGAUGGUCAUUGUGGUCCUUUUCAACCCAGGCCAUUCUAUGAUUCUAUGAUUCAUAAGACAAAACCAUUUCCAAAAGAUAAAAAGACAAGGUUAUUAAAUUUUUCAAAGAUAACAAAACUGAUUCCCACUCUUCUUCCUUUGAUUUACAACAGGAGGAGGAAGGAGCAUGAAGAAUGGAGAAACAAGUUGUUUAAACAACAACAGCUGUUACAUCAAUGCCAGCAUAAAGGAGUCGCAAGCAUCCUGUUCUUGUCUGAGCUGUCGCUGUUUAAGUAAGAGCUCUGCCUUUUGAAGAGGACUUUAUAACCUCAAACACACACAUUCAGCUUUAUUUUCUUCCUAAUCAGAAGUCAAUUAUCCUGCUGAGUAAUGACAGAACAAUUCCACAAAGUAAAUCCUUUUCAUAUUGAGGCCUUCUGUGAUCAAACUGCACUGGAAACAUCCUCAGUCACACAAAAGGAGGAGGAUUUCACUCGUGCUUCCCCAGUCAUUCCUAGGGGCCUUUCUCCAAACUUCCCUGCAAACCUGCAGAGUAGCAAUGGCUCCAGCUGACAUCAUGAGAUGAUGUACUUUUAUCCAAACUGAAACUUCACUACUCAAUCUUUCAUCAAGUCGGAGGCUAUUCAUGAAGUGUUUACCUCCAGCUGUCCAUAGAUUUUACUCACAGAAGCAAAUUAGUGCUACUGGCAAACAUUAUUUAACUUGUUCCCUGCCUCCCUGUUGUUACUAUAGUAAUGUGAGACUCCUGGAGAGCCCCUUUAAUACUUCUUUAACCACUUUGAAAUAGCUUUGUUAUUAAAUAACCACUGGAACAUUUUCCUAUCACACGCAAGUUAUCAUCUGUUUUCAGGUUCUGCACUUUCAAGUAUUCUUAUUAACAGUCUGCAACACCACUCCGGUCCCAGGUGCCGAAGUCCACACAUACAUGAAUUACCUCCAAUCAGUCUUGGAUACAUGAGUAAUAGUGCACUCAGGAGGCACUGAUUGAAGCCAAAGAGCCGUAUGUCACUGCUACAGUACCUGGGGUGCUUGAUGGAAGACAACAGAACAAAGCAACCAUCUGACUACAAGGAGGAUCCACUGCUGGGUCAGCUCCUUGGCCUCCAUACAGCAUUCAAGAUCAUCUAUUGUCCAUAUGAAACAUCCUUCUGGCAAAUCUGGAGGUAAUCUGGACUGAUUCACCUGGUCAGGAUGCAGGCCAUAGCCAAGCUAUUCUUCAGUUUGCAGGGAAAGCCUCAUGUCAUCCCACAGUUAUCCAUGCUCAUGCACUCCAGCUCUCCUCUGCAAGACCACCCCUGCACAGCUGCUAGCUGGCCUCUCAGGCACACAGUGGCUUCUCAUCAGCCACUGGUAUCUCCAGAGCUCACCUUCAGGGAAAAGCUGCCCCAAACCAUGCCUGUGGAUCAGUAUGGAGUACAGGCUGCAGAAUAUGGCCUCUCACAGUGAACAUCCUCCACCUCAACAGCAGCUCUCAGCUUGGCAACCUUCUGACCAUUUCUCCUUGCUACUUCAAGAGUGUCAGGAAAAGUUUUAUCCCUGCUUCCAACAGAAAUCCUGAAUGAUAUCUCUGUAUAUUCUGUAUAUUUCUCCUUUUAGGAUGGAGGCAUAAGAGGAGCAGGAAGAAACUGUUCUACAGCUUGUACCUGUAGCAGAGACAGCACGGCAAAUAUGGCUGCAGAACCUGCUCAGACACUGCCCCGGGAGCAGCUCAGCAAUAAGCCCAGGAAAGAGCCUGGAGAAGAUCAGCUGGGGAAUAGCUGAACUUUGUUAUUUAACACUGAUAAAAAAAACCUAACACAGGAUGGAGAAUUGCAAAUCUGCAUAAAGCAUGAUGAUUUUAGCCUCACUUGAGCUUUCCCCCUCUUACCCACUGUGGGAUUCAAUGAGAACUGUAAGCAGAAAAGAAGUAAACACACAAACAGUGACUUAUUCUACCUAAGUACAAACCAAUUCCUGGAGGGGAAAGAAGGAGAACAGAACUGGGACUGAUAUUACAGGCUUAGCAAGCAGGAGCACUUGGGCACAUACAGCUGGCUUUGUCACUGUGUUACAAAGGCUCCCUGUUACCACUCCACCAUUACAGCAUUGUCCCAUGCAGCCUCAAGCCCAAAGUUCAAUGGUGUAAGUUGGCUUCUUUGAGUUCCCCAUUCAGAGCAGGGAUCCCAACAAGGGCACCAAACCAUCCCUUGCUCCAAGCAAAAUGAGUACUAAAACUAUAUGCCCUUUCUCCAGCAUGAGCUUCUUUCCUGUGCAAAGCAGAAGUCCAACACUUAUCUCAGCAUUUUACAAGCCCUUGCCAUGCUGGCCAUAUUGUUCAGUCAGUGUACUACACCAGGACAAAUAAAUGGAGAGUGUUCCAGUGCUGUCCAGGAAGAGCUGAUCUCUUGUAGGGAUCAACAUCUGGCACAUUUGCACCCUGUAAGGACUGCCCAGCCAAAAAUAACCUUGAAUCCUACAGUUAUUUGGCUGUUUGGAUCCCAACCACAUUAAAAAUUACUCUCCAUUUACUAUCUUACUAAACUAUACCUGAAAUUCUCUAGAUGGGUCUCAGAGCUGUGACUCAGUGCUGAGGAAGAAAACUGUGACUUGAGAACCUGGCUUCUCAGCCUGGCCACAGGGCAGGACCUUAACCACACUUGCAGGAGCUGUGAUUCACCUUAGAGUAGCACAAAAGCCAUGCACGUGAGUCAGGGCUGAAAUACAAAACCACAGAGCUGGCCCAGCCCGGGUAUGUCAGUCUGCAGACCAUCACUGCAGACCUGGGACUACAACGCUAAGAUUUUAGUCGUGCUGUAUUUCAGUCCUACUUUUGGGAAGCCACAGUACUAAUAAAAUAAACAGCACUUAUGCAAAGCAGAGGGGAUGGAGGAGCAUGUCUCUUCCUGGCAGAAUUAGUACCUGUUUGAUGACACAGCUCUAUGUUUUUCCACAUAAGAGCUAUUCUUUUUUUUUUUUUUUUUUGAUACAAUUUCCCCUCUUAACCAAUGGAGGGUGGGAGAAGCUUUAACAUCUGAAGCGCUUUGUGUCCCCGUUUAGAAGAGGCAGUGCAUGCUAACAGCCAUUUAGUUUCCUGAAAUUGCUGCAGGAUACAAAGAUAUGUCAUAUAUCCCGUCUGACAGCAUCAGCACAAAGGCACACAAUAUCUGCCAGGGCUCUUUGUUAAAUACUAUAUUGUCCUAGUGACUCAGUGCACUGGAAUGCAUCAGGUUUAGCCAUAGCCUUUCUGAUACAGUCUUUAGAUUAGGCACAAAUUUCUGCCUUUUAGAAAAAAAUAUAUAUAUCUAUGGCUUAUUAUUAUGUGGAGCACACAAAAUUCCUGGCCUCUUUUCCAGGGUGAUAAACACAGCACUGAAACAAAAGGCCUGGGCCCCAAACCAAAUGGCUCUUUCAAGCUUCUAACAAGUCGGGUUUCAAGAACACUGAAGAGAGGAAAACCCAGAUGUGCACCACGACCAGAAGUUCUUGUCAGAAGGAGAGAGGGCAGAAGAGCAGUGAAGAUGGUCAAAGUCACUGAACAUCGUCUGUAAUGAGGACAGCUGAAUCAGCCUUGGAUCUUUCAGUCUGGAAUACUAGAGUACAAUACCAAACCGCCCUCACUUUGCAUUCUUAACUGCUGUUGUGAGCAGACAGAGGGCAAGCAUCCACAGUGAGCCCACUGCUUGCACAGGAAGCAUCAACCACAUCCAUUUACAGCAAGGGCCCUGCAAUACAGCCUCCCCCAACAUGUAGCUUUCCUGCCAAGUCACGAAGCCUCAUGUGAUGCUUGAAGAGAAGCUUCCUAAUAUUCCAACCCCAGCCCAGUUAUUUAGACAUUCAGUGCACAGUCUUGGGAAACAAUGACUUGUUAAGGACUUCUUUGAAACAGUUUCUUUUCCCAUUCCAAUCUAUGGCAAUCUAAGACAGAGCUUGUUUCCAACAUCUCCUCUGCUCCAUCCCUCUGCCAUCUCCUACUGAUCUGAAUUCAUAUACGCAGACUUCUUGCUUUAAUCACAAUCUUCUGCCCUUCGAAGGGACUCCAGGCCUCAAAUCCUUGUCUCCUACUUCUGUUCUUCAUCAGGCCCGCAAAAGCAUACCUGGUUCUGAAGGUCAGUGCUGAGCCUGCCACACACAGCAUCGGCUGAAAUAAGUGUUCUGCAGGCCAAAUUAUGCCUUGGGGAAGCCUAUGCAGCCGUGUGGGCCUCCUGCAGAUUGCACAGCUGUCAGGCUACAGCUUACAGUACUCUCCCUAAGAUACGCAAGGAGAAAGAGAAUUCAAUGAUAUUGACUUAUUUUAGCUACUGAAGUCAGCGGACCUGACUCUAAACACACUUGGGAUUAGACCUGUCGAUUAUGACCAUGGGGCAGCACUGUCCAGUAGCAGCAUCAUUUGUUCUUCACAUGACCUCUCUGUUACUUUCAGUUUUAGCAUUCCUCACGGCGUUUGUGGCAGCAGCCAUUGUGCCAGCUGAGCAGGGAGACCCCACUGUGUUUGGCACACUACAAAAGGUGCCAAAGGUAGAAAGACUGUCCUGAAUUCAGAAGCAAACAGCUAAAUUAACGGUGCAUUAGGUAGGAACAGAUCAUCUGAACCAAGGACAUCAGGCAUGUCUCAUGAUACUUGCCAGAGGUGAGAAGAUAAGAAGACACACAUAAGAUAGCUUCUUUUUCCCCUUCUUGCAUAGAAGCACAAGCAUUAUCUGCCCUGCUCCCAGGACGUUUUUAAACCAACCUGCUAACACAUUCCAGUUUCCAAGCACACAAUUUCCCCUUGUCUUUUGUUUAUGAACACCUUCGGUUCUAAAAUUCAUCAUCCCAUGCUAUCCUUAGGAGAGUGGCCUGCUAGGGUUGUUACAGUGAAAUUAAUUGUGCAGUGGUCUCAGCCAUCGCAGCUCCCACACUCACCUGCUGGGUCUGUGCCUGCAUUUUACAUCCAAAAGCUGAGAGUCAGCUUGCAGAUACCUACAGUAGGCAGUUAACUAUUUUCAGCCUGGCUGUGCACCAGAUGGCCCAACAUGUUCCAGUUAACCAGUAUAUAUUAACUGACGUCCCUCACAGUAACAAGUUUAACAAUAUUUGUAGACACUUCAUAAAGCAUAGGCUCGUUAUUACAGUCCAUUAGUGUGCAUGCAAGAUAUUUUAACGUGUAAAAAGUCCCCAUGAAAUAAGAAUUUUCUCCUUUACUUUCAGGAAAAAAAAAAAGCCAUCCUUGCCACAUACUAGGCAACGCUUUCCAGUGCUUUCUUCAUACCCUUUCCAUCCCAUAAGUCAAGUCAAACCUCAUUUAACCGAUAUCACAGCAUGCCUCUAAGAGUCACCCCUGCACGUGAGCAGGUUCCUCAUCCUCCCUCCUCCUUGAGUUCAGCAAGGCUGGAACAGAGCAGGUGAACUCUUGCUCUCCUGACCCCAGGGCCUCUUCUGCUCUGCAGCACAGGAAACCACACAUGACACAUUAUUCAAUUAUGUGGCAACGCCUUCAGCAUAGAUUUCCCUGCAGCCUCAAACAGGUACAAGGCACAACCAUAUUGGUUCUUUGUUCUGCUGGAAAGUGCACACCACUGGAAGUGGACUACAGGCAGAAUGCAGCACUUCGGAUAAAAGGAGCUAGAACCAUCAACUUCCAUUUCUCCCAAAACCAAACAAGUUAAGCCAAAGGAGUUCGUGUUUCUAUGGCAGUGUUGCCCAAAUAAGCAGAGUUAGAGCUCCUCUCUAGUGAAGUCAACCUGAUGACACAAGACAGCAUCACAACAGUAGGCACUAUAGAAAGUCUCAUCCUAGAAAUGUAAGGGUACUUACUGGAAAAGGUGAUCAAACAGAGUCUGUCUCUCCUCUGUAGCCAGCUGUCCACUCAUUCACUUGGAUCCUAUCAGAGAGGAAAAAAGGCUCUAAGUAUAGACAAAGUGACAGACCCAAGAAGUAGGCCAGCCGAGGGAAGCCAGACAGACCCUCCUCAACACUGAGGUUGAGAACUAAGAAUGCUGACAAAGCUCAGAGCACUGCUGCAAUGCCUGAAAUCACCUACGGCACUGCUUGCCCCCAGAGGCUCUCUCAGCAAGGCUCGAUCUGAUCAAAAUGUAAGGGAGUGGCACCAAUAGCUGCAAAAAUCAGGUGCUACAGAGAACCACAUCUGUUUCUGAGACACACUGACCACCAAAAGCACCAUUACAGUGUGCUCUGCCUAUUACAUGGGGAAACAAGAACUCCCUUUGCAAGAUGCAGCCUGGAAGGAAUAUAAGGGCUGUGGAUCCAGCACACACUGAGGAGUGCCUUUAACAGACACAGUGGUUCAACAAAUGGUACCCCUGUAACAGGAAACCACUCAACUUUUGCUUAACCCUGUUUUGAUUAAGCAAAAGAUUACCCAUGGAGUGGCAUUAUGAUGCAAAGAAAAGCAAAAUGCAUCACUAGCCAUACACUUUAAUACACAUCACGCACAGAACAACUGUGCUUCAGAGGGACAUUAAAUCCACAUUCAAUUAAUAGAGACCCCUCUUAGGAUGGGCAUUAAAUAAUUCCCUACCAUGCACACAGAUAACUGUCCACUUCACAAAAAUGGAAUAGGAACCUCCUCAUAUCCCUGCCAAUAAAAUCUCCAUCAAAACUUGCCCUUAAAACAACAAGGGGUCAGUGAGGAGGGAUGAGGGGCAGGAGAGCCACUAUUGUGUGCUUAUAUUAAAGACUCCUCAUCAGAAAAUUACUCCAAAUGGAUGUUUUUCAUGUUUAUCAAUAACAGAGCUAAUGGUUUUUAUGUAAAUGCCAUUACUCUCAGUCAGAUCUGCACAGGACUCAGCCCCAUCUCCCCUCGUGAGCGACUCCCCUUCAGGCAGCCAAUCUAAAUGCAAAUUAUAAUCAAAUGGCAAAACCAGGAGUUUUCCGGAUGAGACCAAAAAUCUAAAAUUAAGGACAAAGCGUACUUAUUUUGAGAGAACAUCCCUCCUUGUCGUCAAUACACAACACCCGCUGGGCUCACACCGCGUCUUCAACCCAAACAUACAUCAAAAUUCAAGCCUAACUUGAUUCUCCUUUGCAGCCCUACUGUUUACCUAUAGAGCAAAGAGCACCAUUUGCGGGGGGAAGUGACUCUCCUUGGCACAGAGCUGGAAGAAGGAGGUGGUGCUGCGGGAUGGGUAUUCAGAGGCAGAGAUUUAGAGCUGCUGCCAGCAUGAGGAGCGCCUCUCUCACGGCAUAAAAGCUUUUCAGAAGAGCACUUAAAUCACAGCCCCCACCUGGAGGAUACACGAAACAGAGCGCUUCGUCGGCACUGAUUACAAUAACGCACUAAUGACAAAUUUGGUAAUAAAUAACAUCAAAAACGGCGCUGUUUAUUAAGCAGAACGCACAGAAGAGAAACUAAUGACUAAAACAAAGGCCAGAAACCUAACAACGUAACUACUGCACAGGUCUGUGAGGGAGCCCAGAGGGGACUGGCUCCCCGGCUGCAGAACACCAAAGCUCCCAUUCCCCAGAGAUGGACACGUCCUCAGAGGGAGGCAGCCAAUUAGCGAUGGCUACAGACGUGCUCGUUACACGGGCUUAGCGCUUUGUAUGUUUUGGAAGAGCAUAUCACAGGAAUAUUCAGAGCAGAACUUGGCUAAUUAACAUUAAUAACUGAGAGACCGCUUCGGCAAACAGCUGGAUUUUGUGGAUUAGGCAGCGAGCGGACACACAGUGCUGGGGAGCAGAGAGAGAAUGCAGCUCAGCGGGCACCUGGCUGCUGCCUCAGUGUUGCAGUUAAUGAUUUAUCCUUGGGCCUCAAUGUCCAUGAACGAAUGAAUGCGCAGUCUGUAAAUAAAGCACCUCAGCCUGAGCACGGCCCGGCUACAGCUGACUGCUGGGGUAUGACUGCUCGUCAAAAGAGGUAUUACAUUCAAAACCACAGCCCUGCCUGCCUUCCCCCAGAAGCUUCUCAUGAGGACUGGCAUCUCUGAAAUCUCAGUCAACUCUUCUUUUUCCACAGCUGCUUUGACAUAGCUCGUGGUUAAACAAUUACUCACAGACCCAUUGCUUUCGGCACUAAAAUAAGACACAGACUUUCAGUCCUCCAUCACAGCACGGAGCUGCAAAGGAUCCGUCCUCCUCUUCCUCCAAAGCCACGGUGAAGCAGCACAGCUACGUAACCCAUCUUUGGCAAAAGGAGCCCCAGCUUACAGCCCGUCACCACAUCAAGGCCCAUUUAGAAUCAUCACAGAAUUGAGUUAGAAAGAACACUUAAAAGCCACCCGGUCCCACUCCCUGCAAUGAGAAGGGACAGCUCAGAGCCCAUCCAGCCUGACCUUGGCUGUCUGCAGGGGACAAGGCACCCACCACCUCCACGGGCAACCUGUGCCAGUGCCUCACUAUCCUAAUUGUAAAAAUCUUCCUUAAAUCCAACCUAAAUCUCCUCUAUUUUAGUUUGAAACCAUUUCCCCUCGCCCUGUCACAACAAAUCCGGAUAAAGAGUCUGUCCCUUCCUUCCUUACGGCCCUCUUUUAGGUACUGAAAGGCCACUCUCAGGUAUGUCUGUAGCCUUCUCUUCUCCAGGCUGCACAGUCCCAGCUCUCUCAGCCUCUCCUCGUACGAGAGGUGUCCCAUUCCAUCAAUUAUUUUUGCAGCCCUUCUCUGGAUACACUCCCAAUGGGUCCACAUCUCUCCUGUACUGAGGACUCCACAUGUGGAUGCAGCGCUCCAGGUGAGGCCUCACCAGAACAGUACAGAAAGGCAGGAUCCCCCCCCUUGCCUUGCUGGCCACACUACUUUGGAUGCAGCCCAGGAUACAGUUGGCAUUCAGGACAGAGAGGGCACAGUGCUGGCUCAUGUCCAGCUGCCAUCCAUCGUUACCCCCAGGACCUUUUCACCAGGGCUGCGCUCUAUUCUUACAUCCCCAGCCUGUAUUGAUAGCGGGGGCCGCUGUGACUUCAGGUGCAGACUCUACACUUGGCUUUGUUGAACCUCAGGAGGUUGUUGCAGGCCUACUGUGAGCUGUGGGGGAAGAGAAAAAAUAGGAAAAAAACCAAAAAGGGAAGGAGCCCUUCUGAAACAAGUACAUCUCAUUCACACACCUCAGCGCUGCAGAUCACAGCCCAACCCUGCAACAGAUGUCCUGGUGAAAGCAGCAGCACUGCGAAGCAAACAGGCGUUCAGGCACGGCGACUCAGGGAAUGCUGCUCCAGGAACGUGGUGCAUCGGGGACAGUGCUGCUCAGCCACCCGAGAUUUCACGCACAGCCACCACCAUAAUCUGAUUUCACAGGCAUCUCCUGACUUCAGCUGUCAAACCACAACCGCAGCCCAUUUGCUGCAGCAGCGCGCUUGAAAACCAGAGCUGUUCCUGGAGCAGAGCCAUUUCCUCCCAGAAAUUAAAGGUUCAAAAAUCAGAGAAUCUCACCCCAACCCGUGGACUCGCUGCUUCCCUUUGCAAGAGUUCAGGUUUACUCACACCAAAAGGGUCCGAGCAGCAGAGCCUUUUCUUGCUGCCUUUUGUGUGAGGCUUCACGCUACAAUAAAUGGGUGGAAAUGCAAAGCAGAAGUUCACACAAAGAGAAACCAGUGUGCGAGGUGGUUUCUUCUGAAAAAGAGCAGGAGCAGGAAUGACUUACUGCCUCAUUAAGGAGCCCCAGGCUGCAUUUUUAUUAGAUAUAUUUAGAUGCCAGUGGUAAAAAACCAAACAAAAGUUAAAAAAAAAAAGAAGGGGGAGCACCUGUGUUCUUAACGUAUGGCCUGGGUAAGUCACAGGGCUACAAACUAAACCACAGCAGAUGCUCCAAAUGCAAGCGUGGAAUGUUAAUGGUGUAUGUGAGGACUCAGAAAAUCACCAUCAAUCUGCACAAAGGUGAAAGGAUUCCGCUGCUGCAGGACUGUGACUUUUCCCCACGCUCUCACGCAGCAAAUGCCUGUUCAUGUCACAGCCCACAGUUACUCCUGUGUUCCUCUUUGUGUUUUCAUACCUCAUUACAGCUUGUAAGCUGCUCAGUGCAAUGAAAAGGCAAGUCAGUGGAAGAUUUACUAUCUCGGUGGUAAAACUGAGCCCGUGCCCCAGCUGUCAGCCUCCCCACCACCGCCUCCUAUGGCACUGUGCAUGAUCCCAUGCACCCCCUGCUGUGGCCUCCACCCUGCAAGCAACCUGCAGCUCCGAAGGAAGGCUCAGUUCAUAGAACAUCCUGAGCUGGAAGGGACCCGUAAGGAUCACCCCGUCCAAUUCUUAGUUCAAAACAUCUUUCCUAUGUACAUAUCCCACAUAUGUAUAUGUCCGUGUAUGUAAGUAUUUAUACUCUGGUCUGCACAGUGCACAACUUUCUAGUAAUGUAAAUGCCAUCUCCCCGGCUUAAUGGGGAUGAUAACUUAUGGCUAAUCCUGUACGCUGGCACUGAACAAAGCAAGGCGGCACACCCAGAGCCAGCAUGCCUCCCAACCACUAAACACACAUUUCUGUGCUCUACGUGGGCAGCAACUGCUGUCCAGAACGUUUUAAGAGCAGAAACCACACUGCCUGAUGCGAGAGGAAAAAAAAUAAACCAAACCCAAAUACAUUCUUCCUCCUCUUCAAAGCCAGAGCAUAAGAAACAAGCAACGUAAUUAUUCCCACACAAGGGGAAGGAAAAUAAACCCAAAGAACACACACACGAGGAAAGCAACAAGCCUCAAAAAACUGCAUUUUCAAAAUAGUUCAAGGGCUUCUGCGCAGGGCCGUAGCCUCACAGCAGGAGUCAGGAAGAGCAGAAACUACAGAGAACCAUCUUCAGGGCUGCUGCACCCCGCAGAGCCCCCAGCACAGUCUCCCCUGCGUGCUGGAUCAUUCCCUGCCUCCUCCCCCACUCCAGCGCUGGUUGGUUCAGCAGAACUCCCGGCCCAGCAUCCAGCAGCGAGGCCAGCUGUGAAGGGUGCUGGCUCUGUGUCUGUCCCCUGCUGGGGACCCACCAGUGCCUGCCCUGGGCAGCACCCAGAUGCCAGCACCAAGUGGGAAGGAGUGGGUGCCCUAAGUGCUGCACAUUCUUUGGUGCCAACGUGGCACAGCUUUUUCCUCCCGGAGCAGCCUCAAAGCCAAAGGCAUCAGUUGCAGCUGUCCCAUCACCUGCCCGGAGACACCCAGACACCAGACGUGUGCCAAGAGGAGGCUUUCACUGCACCUGUACCAACAUGAGGGCUCCUCAGCAAAUCCUCCAAAUCCUCCAAGGCUGCAGCAAACAAACCUCUGGCAGGACAGAAGCAAGCUCUCAUCCCGAUGUUUCCUCCAGGGAGCGGAAGCACGACUCAGACACAAUCACUCGCUGCUGACAAGUAAAAGCACUUCAAGGAAGGCUUUUUUCCCCCUCCCUUCACUUUGUUUUAAAUGGCUGAAGAAUUUCCUCUGAAUGCUUCCAAUUGCAGCUCACGCAGAGUUAUUUUUGAAAGCAGAGAACCAGAUUUCUGAGACUCUGAAUGAGGAAAUGCAAAGCUUUUAUUAAGCAAUAAUAGCCCAGACAAUGGUCACAAUUUCCCAAGGGUCUGAACACCACAGCUGACAAUAAGCUUGAUUCCUAUACAAAACCCCCCCUUGCAGGCUCAGAGGGUUUGCUUUGUAUGGUCUCAGCUCUAGUUGGAGAGUUAAAACAUUUGCAGCGUGAUUUCCUCCAGUAACAUCUGACCAGAGAUACAAAAAUCACAGGGAAAAGCCCUUCAUGUUGUUCCCUUCUUCUUUGUGAUAGUAUAACAAGCCCUUUUCCAAGCUUGCAACAGAGACAUCUCCCCAUCCAGCUGGAUCAUUCCAAACUGGUCCAUCUUUUCAGGAUCAAGAGAGUGGGGAAAAAACCCUUCAACUUCCUCAAAGCAAUCGGUAUCACCAUACCGUGACUCUCCUUGAAAUGGGAAGAAAUGGGCCACAAAGCCCCACCUGCCACCACAGAGCAUAACUGGAUCCGGCGAUCACAUCACCUCUUUGUUAUUUCAAAAGGGAGGAAGCUGCAGCUCAGAGGAGCUCACACAGCCUCUCGAGCUUCCCAUUCUGGCCUUGUGCAUGCCACUUCUCAUUCAGUGAGAUGUGGUUGGCCAUGAACAAUUGCUGCUGCAUGUGAACGAGCUGAUCUGGCUCUCUGUAGCUGGCAAAAGAAGCAGGCACUUCUAGGGCACAUAAAACUUGAUUGGUUCAAGAUGUCUACUUAGGACAAGAUGAAUUGUCCUGCACAAACGGCUGCUUUUCUCCAUUGACUAUAAAGCAGACCUCAGGGAAAGAAAAGCAACAGCUUAGCUACAGACAGCUACAUCUGUACAAAAGACCUAAAUGCCUCCCAUUCAAAUGCUGUCCUCAUCUUAAAUAGUAAAGAAACUAAUACCCUAAGUUCAUUAGCUCUUCAAACCAAGCCCAGCCUGCAGGAGCAUUCCUACUCCACCAUUCUCUCCCUCCUCUCCCUUGUCCCAGGGAAAGUGUGGCAUACCUGCACAGCAUACCAUGGUUACAUUUAAGCUUUCCUAUCAGGCAAGUUGGUUUCAACACAGUCAUUUACUGACCAAGCUGACCACACAGCCAGUAUAGAGAGCCCACAGCACCUCUUUUCUCCUACUUGCUCCAUCUUAAAGGGAUUGCGAAAACAUUUCCUAACCUUCUGUAUACCUGUCUGUAAUCAAGAGAGCCUGGUUACAGCCAAAAGAGGGCAAAAGAAGAAAGUAAGCGGUUCAACAUCCUGCAUAAGCCUCUGCACCACUGCAUCUGCUGGUGUGCUCUCACCAGAGCAGCCACCACAAGCCGCAGAUGUGAGGAACACAUGCUUGUUGCCUUCCUCUGCCCUGCAACUGCUCAGUCUUGAUCCUCUCACACACAGCACUUGGGAGUAGCAGCAUCCUCUGCAUGCAGAGGACGGUUACUCUUUUAUUACUCCCCUCCAAAGACCCUUGCUCUGGAGCACAGGCUGUGCUUUACCUCCCUAUGGCGGUUCAGCAUAGGCUGGAACCAUUUGUCAGUGCCCUUCCUCGGCAGCAUCGUGCUUGGUGCAGUCAGUUCCACACACUGCCUCGAGAACGGGGAGCCGGGACACAGGGAGCAGUGCCAAGGACGCCCUGCCUGCAUAUACAGGUACAGACACUUGAAAAUGGUUUCUAGUUUUUCUGCAACUUUGUAAGGGAGAGAAAGCAAAGGUGUUACAGGAGCUAAUUAAAAAAAAAAAAAAAACAAACAGAAAGGAUGAGAGAGGGCGUUACUGUGUGCCUUAAUUUUACAGGCAGGGUUGAAGAGGGAGGGGAUGAAGUGCUUGUUUUGUAUUUCUUACCAUUAACUUCAAGGACUCUUGACCCAGAGAAAUCCCUCAAGUUGGCCUGAAACACUGCUGAAAAAUUAUUCAUCAUCUGCUUGUCUGUACAUGGCCAUCCACAUUACAGAUGCAAGCUAACGAGUGCUCUGUCCAGAAGAGCAUGCAGAAAUGCAGGAUGUGUUCAGAAAAGGGAUGUACUCAAAUUAAGGAUGCCAAACACACCCAGAUACUGCCAUUCAGAGACUCCACAUAAGCACUUUUUGUGCAGCAACAUCUGUAAAUCAAAGCAUAUUAUUUCCCACCCUCAUAAUCAAGAGAUUUGCUAGAUUAUCUAGAGAUCUGUCUGAUGGUGGCAGACAAAGCUGCUGAGCCUCAUGCAGCUGCCUGAAAUGGGCACUCAGGCAGAGAGCUCACUCGUGAUGCUGAACAAUGAACACGGUCCCUUCAGUGCUUGCCUCCAAUUAGCAAAACUCUGGGUGCAGUGAGGAAAGAGCACAUCACAGUGAGAGGAGUGGCCACAGGUGACAAAUGCGUGUGCCAGCAGCCACUGCCUGGCAGAUGAAUGAGUCCCCACCUACCAAAGUGAGGAUCACAGGCAGACGGCAGGCAGCAAGCACUUCAUCACGUGCCAGGAGAAGCCAGGAAGACUUGAAUAUUGCUAGCACAGACAGCAAGGCUUGGAAUGCAGCCCUGAUAAUAAACAGCUUCAGUUAAUCCAUAUUCACAACACCUAUCUCCAAAACGCUCCUCAGCCAUUUAACUGUUGCUUCAAGUCAUAGAAUCAGAGAAUGGCCUGGGUUGAAAAGGACCACAAUGAUCAUCUGGUUUCAACCCCCUGCUAUGUGCAGGGUCGCCAACCAGCAGACCAGGCUGCCCAGAGCCACAUCCAGCCUGGCCUUGAAUGCCUCCAGGGAUGGGGCAUCCACAGCCUCCUUGGGCAACCUGUUCAGUGCGUCACCACCCUCUGGGUGAAAAACUUCCUCCUAAUAACCAACCUAAACCUCCCCUAAGUCACGGCAUUAUCACUGGACUUGAUGAUCCUUAUGGGUGCUUUCCAACUUCAGAUAUUCUGUGUUCCAUUAUAAGAAAGAACUGGGUAGCAGCUUGCUGAAUAACACUAGCCAGACGUCAGGACUGUGUACAACUGGGCCAGCUAAGUGCCCCACACCAUGUAGGGCCCCUUCAGCAGGGAACAGUCACACACCUUUGAAAACAUUUGAAAGGUUCCUGGCAGUCCUGCAGCCAUUUGCCAACUGAUGCUUCACCUUCAGGUUUGGGAGAAGGCAGAUCCCAGCCCGCCUCAUGGCUGAGAAGUAUCUUCUUUGAUAUCUUUUCUAAUUGUGUUAUGCAAUAAGUAUCCAACACAUGCAGGGGCAAAAAUGCCCUUCAGCAUUAAUAACAAGUCUAGAUUACUAUAAUCUUAACAGAAAUAAGAUCAUAAGAGAUUUUGUUACGUGACUCCGCAAAUUACUUAAAUCAAGCAAAAAAAAAAAAAACAAAGUUAAAUUAAGACUUCUUUCCCUCUCUGUCCUUCAUGCCUGCCUCAGUACACACAGUAAAAUUAAAAACAGCUGUGAACUUUCAGAUGCAGUAUAGCAGCUCUGCAUUGGCCUAUGGAGGAUCCAAGCCCUUAUCUCAAAGAGCACGUGCCAAGGAGAGCUUAUUUUUGGAUGAGAGGUAAUGGCCCUAAGUUGUGCCAGGGGUUGGAUAUUAGGAAAUAUUUCUCCUCCAAAAGAGCAGUACUGCAGUGGCACAGCUGCCCAGGGAGGUGGUGGGGUCACUGUCCCUGGAGGUGCUCCAGAACUGUGGGGAUGUGGCACUGAGGGAUGCGGGCAGUGGGCACGGUGGGGUGGGCUGGGGUUGGACUGAAUGACCUUGGAGAUCUUUUCCAACCUCCCUGAUUCUGUGAUUCUAUUUCAUGUCCUUUAAAAAGGCACAGCUUUCAAAUAGAGUGGUGACUGACCAUUUUGGAAAGAUUCAGGAUUGCACUGUACUGAGCCAUCUAAGACCUUUACAGUAAUUUGAUAAACAUUUUAGCAUAGAAUGCAUUUGCUGCAUUAUGUUUGCUCUCUGAACUACAGAGGAUCAAUUGUAGGCAUAAAGCUUCCCUAAUGCUGGAAGCCACAACAGAGACGACACCACCCGGAACAAAACUGCAUUGAAAAGCUGUGGGGUUCAAAGAGAAUAGGAAGAAAUAACCAAACAUGCAGCAGCUCAUCAUUUCACACAAUCAUUAAGGUUGGAAAAGACCUGUAUGAUCGUCUAGUUCAACCAUCCACCUACCACCAAUAUUGCCCAUGUAUCCAUGUCCCUAAGUACUACAUCUCCAUGUUUCUUGAACACCUGCAGGGAUCAGGGAAUUCACCACCUCCCUGGCAGCCUGUUCCAAUGCCUGACAACUCUUUGCUCCUCAUGUCCAAUCUGAACCUCCCCUGUUGCAAUUUGAGGCCACUCCUGAGCCUCCUCCAGACUGAACCAUCCCUGUUCCCUCAGUCACUCCCCAUAACAUUUGUGCUCCAGACACUUCACAGAUCUAUUGCCCUUCUCUGAACACCAAAGAUGCUUCACUGUCUUUCCUAUAGCGAGGGGCUCAACACUGAACACAACACUCAAGGUGAGGCCCCACCAGAGCUGAGUACAGGGGAUGAUCACCUCCCUUCUCCUACUGGCUGCACUACUUCUGACACAACCCUAGAUGCCAUUUGCCUCCCUGUCUACCUGGGCACACUGCUGGCUCAUGUCCAGCCGAGCGUCAACUAACACCUUCAGAUCCUGUUCCUCCCUGCAGCUUUCCAGCCACUCUGCCCCAAGUCUGCAGCAUUACACGUGGUUGUUGUGACCAAAGUGCAGGACCUGUCAUUUGGUCUUGAACUUCGUGCCACUGGCCUCAGCCGAACUUUGGGGCUGUGACCAGCCACAGGUUGGAUUUCACUUUCUUGACCACACUGUGGGCCCUGCCCUCAAGCCAGUUUUUACCCAGCAGAGUAUGCCUGUCCAAAUCAUGGGCUGCCAAGCUUCCAACAGAUUCAGAGUCCUAAAGCUGCAUCUUUUUCAUGUUGAGUCCCAAAACUCGCUUAUGCCAACAACAGAUCCCUUGGAGAUGACUCCAAGAGACCAACCUGCCAGGAGGCUGAAGGCCAGGUUCCACCAUAGCUCCAAAACAUGAGGGAAAUUGAACGUUUUGGCUUCAGUUCUGCCAGCAGCUCAUUCCAGGGACUCAUGCCACUUGAUAUCCUUUUGCAUCUCCACUUCUUCAGCUGCUUGGAUGCACCAGUACUUCAUCACGUUACUGCAGCAUCUCAAACAUGUGGAGCUGUCCAUGCAACCUCAGCCCAAGGGCAGGAGAGGCCUUGGUGCCCUUCUGGAUUCUCUUAUCUUCACAGAAGGCAAAGCUUCCACAGAAGAAAUGAAACCAGCAGAUACCUGCACUGUGCCUGCUGAUCUACACAGAAAUCCUAGCCAGGCUCUUGUUUUUUAGAUCUCCUUUUCAGCAGAUUAAGAAAGAUUAUCCCAGGGGUAUGGCAACCAACCAGAGUGCAGGAGAUCAUUUCAAGACAUCUGUAAUAGCACGCAAUUAACAGCCUCUCCUCAAUUUUGUCUCCUGGCCUCAUUCAUUAAGAAGAUGUUUUUUUUAAUCACCCUUACACAACACCUUUAACUAGCAACCCCUCUACUUCCAUUACUGCCACUGCAGGCCUCAGGCUCCUCUUUCCUCCCCUUGAAAUAGAUUCAAAGCAACAUCUUCAUUUCCACUCCUGCUCAUCCACAUUGAAACUGCCUAUACGCACAUGCAAAACAAGCACAAAUUACACCAUUAACUUCAGCUUAGUCAGCUCACACCACAGACUAAGUCAAUAUUUGACAGAUAUUUAGCAAGGACUAGAAUUUAUUUAAAUUCAGCACAUCGUGCCCACAAGAGCGGAUUUAGCAGAGGAUGAGAGACAACAGGACACGCUGCUUGGGAUUUGGAGGACAAAAACUUGCCACUUCGUAACCACAGAAUUCUUUCAACUGGAUACCUCCUGUUGUCACAAAAAGGAGGUGAGGGAAAAGCAGGAUCUGAGCUCAGUCCAAACCUUGUGAGGAACAACCAGCUUUCCUGGGGGCAACGUUGUGCGUGAGUGAGGACGUCCCAUCUUUCAGAGAAGAGGGGUUGCUAAGGCAAUCCACCUAAAGGCCUGUCAUCUGUACCAGCCCACAACUUCAACACAUCCCAUUAAUGCCAGCUGUAGGGCAGCUGAGUUCGUACACAGCCUUGGUUUUCAACAGAAACCAGGAAAAAAAUAAGAAACUGUUGACUGCAAGACAGUCCCCUUCCACAAUUUUUAGAAGCUUCUAAAACCCAGUGGUCCAAAACAAGCACAUCCCAGCAGACGUCGAUGCUGGGAGUCAGCCACAUCUCUCCACAGAUGCCAUCGCUCCCAAUGAUUGUUUUCCAGAGCACGAGCUCCAGUCCAAGCACAGCGUCAGCGCAGUUCUGAGCUUUGUGCCAGCACGGGCCAGAAGAAUAAAGACUGCUGAAACCACCCAGCAUGCCAAAUGGGUUUAACAACAUAUCAAAGAAAUAGGUUUAACCCAAAUUGUGUCAGUUUUCAUAUGAAUAAGAUCAACAUACAUCCCUUUUCAACGUAAAAAUGUAGAUAAAACAGAACCAAGAGCAAAUUCUUCCCCUCCUCUGUGGUUAAAGACCAAUACAAAAGCUUCUGGAUCCCUCUAACCCUGUUACAUGUGCUAGUUCUUCCUGCUGGCUGGCAAAGUUUUUACUUACAUGAGCCCUUGGGAGCAGUGCCAAAACCGAAGAGUAAAAGGAACAGGUCAGUGAAAAAUCCCAACAAACAGAGCAUCACAGGGAGACAGGAAUCAAAAUUAAUCAUUUUUUUGAUCAAAUCUCCUUCUCUGCACUACCAAGGCAGAGCUGCCACCAGCAGAGAAGGCUGCACACUGCAAACAAAGCUAUGUGUGUGUGAACUAAAUGUUCCCUGCAUUGUACUUAACAGUCUGAGAGAGGAGUCCAAACACCAAGUAAAUAAACAGGCAAUAGGCCCAGGCCCCUGACAAAGCAGGGAAAGGAAAAAGCAGGGAGAAGGACAGAUGUAAGCACAGGAACAAAGCUGAACAAAAGAUAAUGUAACAGGUUUGGUUUUCUGUGCUGUUUGUUAGCAGCUUCAUUUGGAAAACAACCCACGUGCUUGCAGAUCCUCUCCAACUGUCCCUCCACUGCUCUCAACUUAGGAAGUCAGUGGCCAUUUCAACUGUAGGCAGAGGAGGUUGAAGUUUCCUGUAUCUUCUGCACAAACAGAAACUCUGCUCAACAAUGGCCAGGCAGAGACCUAAAUUAAUACACUUAUAAAUGGCAACGGAGUUUAAUAUCUGUCCCGGAGGCAUUCAAGGCCAGGCUGGAUGUGGCUCUGGGCAGCCUGAUUUGGUGGUUGGUGACGUGCACAUAGCAGGGGGAUUGAAACCAGAUGAUCAUUGUGGUCCUUUUCAACCCAGGCCGUUCUGUGAUUCUAUGAUUUCUAUUUGCCUGUCUGUCCACAUGCAGCCUCCCACCCAGCACUGCUGCGGGCAGCUUACCUCACUUGGCAAAAAAAAUGCACCCACAAAACCAAAAGAAACCUAGAAGUAGUAGUGCUGCAGUUCAGGUAGCUUUGUGCCCCAUCACCGUGUAAAAAUUAAAAAGAUAUAAAAGGAUAUAGCAACUAAUGAGCAGAACUUUUCUUGCACCUGUAGAUGUACUGCAGCUGGAAAAGCUGAAGGAAAUCACACUGACAGCAGUGGACACACACAUCCGUAUCAUGCAUUUGAAAGCACAAAGAACAAAGCUCUGCUGAAUGUGGGAAUUGGAAAGCCUGACAGAUUUAACCCAGGUUAUCCCGUGGCAAAUUAGCUACUGUUGAAACACAAGGCAUUACAUCAUCUAUUUGCAAGGAUUUUUUUUUUUCCAAGCUAAAUUAUUGUGUUCACAGCUUAAAAAAUAUCAUUUCUUCCUAACAGACUCAACAAAAUGAAGGGGUGGAUCAAGCUCUUUGCAGGGAAGCACACACCUAAACUGCUCUGCAAGUUCAAACACAAGGUUUUAUCUAGAAUUUAGCAGAAAAUAUAGUGCCCCUUCAGGCCUAUCUGUUCAGAUUCAAGGAUGAAAAGCCCAUUUUUUUCAAAAUUAUGCUGUGCAAAAUAAUGGAAUCACAGAACAGAAUCAAAGAACAUCCCGAGUAGAAAGGGAGCCACAGGGAUCAUCUACUGGGGGCUGAACUCACAUAGCUCUGCCAGACACCCAGGUGAUGAGACGGGUGUUGGGGGCUCACCUGAUCCUUCCUUCCAUUUCUGCCAUCUACCUAAAUAGCUGCAGAUUCCACUCCUAGAUGCCACACCGCCUUAAUGGGCCACACUGAGAGGCAGAGAAGGAUCAGCUGCAAACUGAGCUGCUGGAGGCACCACCAGCGCCUGUUCUCUUGUUCAACUUGUAGACUUGUUUUCCCUCGAUCCCCACACAUCUGUUGGUGCAAUCUUGUUUCUCAAAGCUUGGCAGAACCCUAAUUCUGCAGCACCUGCUUUUCAACACUUGCUUCUCAGAGCUUUCUCCAGUGAGUCUGAAGGGCCAAGCUCUCACAGGCUCUCUCGGUGCAGCUUUGAAAACCAUGAUGCACUGGAAAACUGAAGCACCCAGUUGAUCUGAGAGGUUUCACACAAGCUGGUGUUCCAGCUCUUCAAACUCAAGAACUGUCAGAUGUCAGAAAGUGGAAGUAUGCCAGGCAAAGCAUUUGAAAACAGCUAAAGGAGAAAUCAUUGGUCUCAUCCCCAAGAAGAGAAAGUUUUACACAUAGAUACACAGCUUGUGCAGAUUGAGGCCCUCUGAUAUGUUUGGCAGUUUCAUAUAUACCAACCCACGUUGGCCGGUGACCACAAGGCAGGGCAUCCAAGCAAGGAACAAGAUUUUUAUCAACUAAAACUUCAUAAAAGAAGGAUUCUUCUUCUAAAACCAGCACAGGCUUGGAAUACAGCUCUGUCACCAUCAUGCCUUUAGAUAUUCAAGAGUACAGUGAGAAAUUUUGUUUUAGAUUUAAAAAAAUAUUAAAGGGUUAUUUUGAGUAAUGGACAAGCAAUGGGGGCUCUAAGAAUAAAAUACUCCACAAAAAGAAAAGAAAAAUCAACAAAGUUCAAGAAAACUCCAUCUGUGGAAGUCCUGUUAAAGGUAAAUUACCCUUUGAAACAGCCAGAACUGUAAUAAACAGAGAAGAAUGGGCUUUGCUGUCAGGAUGUAAUUAAAAAAAGAAACAAGCAACACAACCACUCCGCUCUGUUCCAUAUGGAGAUAGCCAGGAGCUGAUUUGGGAGAAUGUCAAGCAAACAAAUUUUCACUCUGAGAUUGCAAAAGGUCACUGCAAACAAUUACUACAACGAAUACUAAAAGCAACAUAUGCCUAUGCUUUUUCUCAAUUUAACAAGAUAUCUUUACAGCUUUAGUUACGAUAUGGAAGGAGUAACAACACUGAGGAUUACACAGCCACGUUCAGUCAUUGUGCAAAUACCAGGGAACCAUUAAAAUUGCAUUUCAAUGUGAGUAGGCUGUACAAGUGUUCGCUUCCUCUUCUCCCUCUGCUUUUGCCAAUUGCAGCUCCCAAAACAGAUCUGAUCCACAGUUAAACUCAGGCCAGAACGAAGACAUUCCUUGCCAUGUAUGGGAAAUAAGGAGGUUAUUAAUUUCACUUCUCAUAAUAGAAGAGCAGAAGACACGGUAAAGAGGCCUCGGGAUAAAAAGUCAGGCAAUAAAAAGAAGUGCUCACGUCUCAAAGAUGUGCACCAAUAGCACAUCUUCCCAGCUGUCUCCCUGCCAAGCAGCCUUCAGAAUGGGGCAUUUUCUUCUUUCAGUGCGACUUCAGUCCCCAUUAACAGGGACUGCAUGCGUCAGCACAAAACUUUUGUCCAGCAGCACGCAGGAACUGAAAAAUGAGCAUCCUAUUCCAAUGACCUUCACAGACAUACACAACAGUGAGCCAUUCUUGUCCAUUCAGCAUGUUCAUUUAUAACAAGUCCCACAGAUUCACUAAAUUACCCUCCGUGGUCCUGAGCAGGCUCAGGAUUUGCAAUUAGGAUAAAAGAGGCUGGGAGCAAGCCCCUGACAUCAGAUAUGACCUCAAUACCUGCUCUACACAUGUCCACGCUUUACAGUGCUCAGCUACUCCUGUUGCUGCCAGAAGAGGUCAAGCAUACACAGGCAUUGCCCUCCCUAAGGAACAGGCACCCAUCCCUACUCUCCUAUUCAGCAGCAAAGGAGAAGCAAACCCAGCUUUUCUCUGUGCUGCCUCGAGGUCUUUGCCUUUUGAGGAACAGACCAGCUCUGACCCAGCACCUCCCUAGCUCCAGCACUGGGAUGCCAUGGGAAUGACAAGUUCUACUUCCUGAAAAUUAAUGAAGCUUGGAACAAAGGGAAGGUGACAAAGGGCUCUGGUAUAAUCCUCUCUUUCCCCAGAAGGCUCCACACAAGCAUACAGCCAAUACUCACAGUACGAUGACUUAGCACUGCACUGCCUCAAUACGCUCACACGAGCUUUUGGUAAACCAGGCUAAGAAUAGGCACAGGGACAGCAAUGCAUGCAAAUAAAACACCCCUGCGUAGCAGCAUGAAGCUCACAAGAAAUACUUGCGGUGCCACUUCUGCUUCAAUCAGUUUUAGGAAGAGGAAAUUCACUUUGGUUCUUUUUAUAAAACCCAUUCUGUUACGUUUGUAAAACAGCUGCCACUUUCUCUGCCCAAUAUAGCCACUUCCAGCAGUAACCAAAGGAUCGCUGUGGCUGCGCAUGUAUUAUGUAUAAGAGAUGCAUAUUAAAACAGACUUGAGAUCUGUCUGGAGAUUACUUGUCACUCCUCCAAGUCAAUGGAAUGAUACCAAGAUGCAAGUCAGCGCAGAGCCCAGGCUGUACCUGUAUGAACUGCUCCAAAAGAUGCUCUGGGCAUUGCUGCCUGAGUAAUGUCAGCUGAAACGAGCUCAGCAAGGCAGGCAGACAACGGAGAGAAAAACAUCUUCCUCCCUGACACCUCCUUUCACAAGGAAGAAAUAAUUGCGUAGCUUGGCCUUUCUAAUCAAGACUGUUGUCCUUGUAUUUUUAAAAGUCAUUUGCAGAAAAAAAGCAGAGCUGAUUCCUAAGGAAAAAGAGAGAGCUUCAGUGCAAAAGCCUCGAGAUACCUGCCGGCUCCAGCUCAAUUGCUGCUCCCAACUAACUGCACCCCUGAGACACUUGCAAGAGACUCAGUGCUAUUCUUCACUGCCACGAAGUAAAAACAAAGUCAGCAAACCCUGGGGGCAAACGGGAGAAAGCGGUGGCAAGAUUUCUUUCCAUCUUUUAUUAUUUGCAUCAAGUCUUAAUUCCUGCUAAUAACUCUGAGAUGUACAUCAACAAUAACACAUGGCAGUGUGUUUCAAUACAGCCCAGCAGCAUUAAAUCAAAGAGGUUCCGUGUGCUCUACUUUUAGGAAGGGCAGCAAAAGAACCACCACCCAGCACACCAUGACCAUGACCAGGUUACCUCUCCCCAUGACCAGGUUACCUCACCUUUUUCCACGCCUUUGUUUUUUGUUUCUGGGUGCAUGGCUGAGAACUUGCAAGGGAAGGCUUAACACCAGUGAAUUGUCAGACACCACAGUAAUUAGUGGCAGCUUCCCAACACAUCCAUCUCUGGCCACGGUUCUGAUAGCUGGCUCCUCCUCAAUGCCCACAUUAAAAUCAAGGCACACAAGGUAGGCGGCAGAUUCAUUUACCCAAGGGCUUCCCAGAAGAGAUGCCUAAGGAAAGAAAUAUCUUACCUAAACAGUGCCUGUUUGGUCGGUUGUUUUUUAAAACUACCUGUUAUGUGACUGCUAUCUUCAUUAAUAAUCUGAGAAAGAUGUUAAUGUGCCCACUGACAUAAAGUAGAUGUACAGUGCAUUUCUAGACAAUAGGCACCCAUAGCGCACGUAUCCAACCAGCAACUUACUUCAAAAAGAGGAAGGCAGGAUUGUGCUGCCUUCUGCCUACCUGCUGCUCACACAUCAUGGCUGUGACGUUACCGAUCCACUUAGACCAAAGAGUUUUGGUCUAUUUUAUUUACAGACCCUUGCAAGUUCCCCUGCAGACACAAAGGCCUUAGGAACCCUCCAAAAGAAACCCACAGAGCAGCUCACCCCAUGCUCCACAGAUCUGGGCUCUGCUCUCAGCUCUCAGCUCGUCACUUGAUCGGCAGCUCUUCCUGUCACAAGCUCCAAUGCUUUCAUGCCAACCUUUUCCAGAAGUCAUCUGCACGUCAGUGGUACUAUACAGCAGCACCAACACAGUCCAGAACACAUCAUUUCCCACUAGGUGCCUGCAUAGAGCAAACCUGCAGUAUAAUUACUUCCUCAUGCUUAUAACAGAAGCGCUGAAAGAUGAGUACAAAUCCCAUCCCCACGCGCUCUGGUGUUACAUACAAUGUGAAGGCAUUUAAUCAAGGGAGGAGAAGAUAAUCCUCUCCACAUUCAGUUGUGUGCCUUAUUCCAUCACACCCAAAUCUGGACCCAAGAUGUGGUACAGACACAUAUGAGACGAGGAAAAUCAAAGCAGUUAGGUUAUGAUGAUGGCACGAAGUAAUGGAGGGUGUUGAUGGCUUUAAUUGUGCUGCCUUUACAUAAGCAAAGGGUCCAAUUACCACAGUAAGCUGCCAAAUGAAUUCAUCUUCUCUUUGACUGGCCUUAGAAAGUACUCAGCCCGUCAUAAAGCAUCCCCCCUCAGGGAAACCACACAUGCAUGGAACAACUUGUUUCCUUCUAGAUGACAUUUUGGCAUUCCAACACAUAGAAUUCACUUUCAAACACAUUCAGAGAUGACCAACGUACUGGCGCAGAUUUGAGAUGACUACACAGCUCCACAAUCCCUUCAUGUGACACAAAGUAGUACGAAACAGUAAGAAAGCUCAUCCUGCAGAGCCAGAUGUCAGGACGUGUGCUUCAGCACAGCAGUGCCAUAACCAAAAUGCAACGGGAAGGGGAGCAAUCCUCAGGCUACGUGUGUUGCCAGCAUCCCCGAGAAGAAUGUCAGAUAAGAAGAUAUCUCUUAGUAUUCUGAAUCAUGGGGAAGGCAUUUUAUGAAACAAGACAGGUAAAAGGUUAACCAGUUGGAAACUAUGCAGGAAAAAAAAAGAAGUGUUACCUGUACAGAGAGAAAUGUUGUUAGCAUUUUGUAUUAGAAGAAACUUGAGAGGGUUUCCUGCAUUCAUGGGUUAACUCCAUGUUCUCAUACUGCCCUCAGUAUGUUUGCAUCUGUAGCAAAAUGACAGAGGUUUCCUUAAUUCAUCAAAACUCAUGCAGGGGAGGGGACAGGCAGAAAAAGACACUCAGCCAACUCCAUGCAGUGACAUCACAACUAUCUAAGGAAGUGAUGAUAAGGGUGAAAGAAACUCCUUUACAUCAAACUAUAUGUAGUCAUUGAACAGCCUGAGUUGAAAAGGACCACAGUGAUCAUCUGGUUUCAACCCCCCUGCUACGUGCAGGGACGCCAACCAGCAGACCAGGCUGCCCAGAGCCACAUCCAGCCUGGCCUUGAAUGCCUCCAGGGAUGGGGCAUCCACAGCCUCCUUGGGCAACCUGUUCAGUGCGUCACCACCCUCUGGGUGAAAAACUUCCUCCUAAUAUCUAAUCUAAACCUCUGCUGUUGCAGUUUAAAACCAUUCCCCUUCUGCUAAGUCAUUAGCACAAGGUUAUUAAGUCAUUGUCAUUAGUGGGAGUCUUCGGGUUCCCUUCCCCUGGACAACCAGAAAAGCUUAAAUUUGCUUCAUUGACGAGUCUCAGUUUUCUGUAUUUCACUCACUGUGACCAACAAGGGACAGAUCGCUUUGUAGUCACUGCAAAUGCCACACAGCCCUGAAAAGCCACCACCAGCCACUGCCAGUUAGCAGGGGCAGAUGCCAGCAGAGGGAGCACAGCACACCUGUGCACUCCUUACAUAAAAGCAGAGGUAGAUCCAACUCUGCCAGCAAAUGCUGAAUUUAAAAAUAUGUAUUGAAACUUGCUUUAAAAUCGUCACAGUCCUGUAGGAAAUGUCCAGCAAGCCAAGCAAAAAGCUACAAAAUGCCCUUUCAAAUACAUUUCUGAAAGAUUAGUCAAUCCUCUAAAUGGCUCCUGCUGGUAGCAGACAUCAAUUAGCUAACAGCAAUGAUUUCACAAAAACAGGAUUGCAAUCUGUGCUUCAGAACUGGGCCUGUGAUUGCUGCAUAAUAACACCUAUUUACUGGUUGGCCAGCGCUCAGGGCUUCCUACACCCCAGGUCAGAUAGGGAUCAAUUAGCUGUGAGCCAUAGAGCUAUAUGCACUCCUGUCUUCAUCCUUCUUACCCAAACCCCAAAACCUCAAACUGGCUUUGCACCUCUUUUCAGGCAAUAUCCACCUUAUUUGCAUCUGAGAAUCAGACAUCUCAGCUGCAGGAGCCAACUCAACCACGACAAUCACCAGUAAACAGCACUAUAAAGUCUUCUCCGAGAAGAAAAUUGUGGGCUCUGCUUUUGAGGAUAUGUCUAAAUUGCAACCACAGUGCUACAAGCAUACUCAGAGCAGCCAUAGCCCAGCAAGCACAACAGGGGUUGUACGGACAACUGUCUGGCCCAGCUGCGUGCCUCAAAUCCCAUGUAAAUGCUGCCCCAGCAGCUGCAUUCCAGCAGAGAUACAACUAACUGUACUGAAACGCCCCAUGCCUGAAUACGCACAUGGACAUCACUUGUUUUUUUCACAGACCCCAUGUAUUUUGCUUGCUGAGUGGUUAGGUCAUAAGGACCUCCAUUUGGGUUAGGAUUCAUUCAUUACAGUAACACAAAAAUUCCAGGCUGGGUUAAAACCCCAGUGUUAGGAACUGCUUCAGUCUGUGCGUGACCCAAAAAGGGGUAUUUAGCACAGAUAACAGGUAGGGAAAUGAGACAACAAGCACAGGGAAAACCUCUCUGCUGGUGAGGAGUCAUGAUCCAGUGAUUGGGUAGUCCUUCCCAGGUCUGUAUUUUGUGGGGUUUUUCCAAAGUAGAAAAAUUGCCUCUGGACUAGGAACCAACUGACAUCUGACCACUACGAUCUUGGCUUCAAAUAGCUGGCACAUCUGGUUAGCUGCAUCUCCCAUCCUGCUGGAACUGUUAUGGGAAGGAGAAGGAAUGCCCUGAGGAAAGAGGGGAAGGUGACAGGAGUCAAACAGCAGGGAGGAAAAUCAGGCAGCAGAGAUCGUGAGGGAGAGAGAACAAAUACACACAGCCAGAAGAAAAAAGAAUGUUUUUUGAGUUCACCUUUAAGAUGAUGAUGCUGUGGGAUUUCAAAACUUAAUAGUCACAGAAAGCAGAUUUGAGGUGGCCUCUGGCUCCCCACAUGCAAGCAAGCACUAGUAAUAUAUCAAACAGCGUUCAAACCCGUGUCUGAACAGUGACAUGCUACAAACACCCAGAGGAAGACGAUCUUUCCCAUCCCACCUUAACAGCACAAAAACAGCCUUCCAAUUUUGCCGUGUACCACUGAGAAACAGCCUAAACGACAGCAUUUCAACAACUGUGGUUUUCUUGUUUUGCACAUUUGCUGCUUCUGCUCUGAUUUGACAACUGCCAAAAGCCAUCCUCGCAUGCAAACAAACAUGAGAGCUAACAGUCUCCACUUGCAAAACGAGAGAAUAUCAGAAAACUCUUUUGGACUUCCCUUCUGCAAAGAGACAUCAAGAAGUUCAAGAACUGUCAGUACCCCAGCUGAGCUGCCAGAAGAAUGUGGCUGUGCCACGCUCAAAUGAAGACAGCCCAUUACCCCUGCUCCAGAAUCUCUUAACACUGAGCUGAACUGAUGCAAACUCCGGUUUCUGGAAUGAAAACUGAAAAAACAGAGGCAUCACAAAGCCAUUAAGUGAAUAUGGGUAAAGCCACGUGUAACAGCAGGACCCUCAGAUGGUAUGUGAAGCCAGGGGGCUUUGCGGGGGUGAACACUUCUCCCAUCACCCCAGAUUCAGACCCUGGUUCACUUCUGAUGCUCCCUUUGCAUAGAAAGAAGUUUAGGAUUAUUUACUACCUACUAAAGCCCAAAAACACACCCAGUGUGCCAAGAGCCUUAUUAUCUCAAUUACAACAGAAAUAUCAAUCAAAGCACAUUUGCAACGCGUGCGUCAGACUUUGACAUCUCACAUAGAUUUCUCCACAAAAGCAGAAAUAUCCGUCAGAGCGACCUGCCCACGACACCCGACUCAGGAAACAAAGUUAUUUCAUCUCCUUCUUACAGAUACCAAGCUUGCCCUACGGAAACCCAGAAGUGUUGAAGCCAAGCUAUCAUAUCAGGGUAUCGACGCACACUUAUCAGAUGCAUGCAUAAGCAACAAGAGAGCAGAAACCAACCAGGGAGAUGCACUCACUGCUUGGCUUCUAACACACGCAGCAGCAGAACGGCGCUCCUGGAGAGGAUGCUUUGCUCCUCCACUCAUCCUGAGCACCCACUGAACGACUUCCAGCUGCAAAACCGUUUGGCUCAGGGCAUAGCCAGGGGUUGGGCACUAAUGUGUUAGCCCACGCUUUUUUUUUUUUUGAUUAAGGAAGGAACCCGAUGUUUUUAAGGUCGAAAGCAGCGGGGAACGCUGAAGGAUAAGAUAAAUUGGAGGGGGAAAAAAAACAGCACAAAGCUCAACUUCAGCAAAG
ensembl:lncRNA